UCUUACUUCCUCCAAUUCUUGGGUUGGUUGCAUAAUGCGUGCCGCUAAUUCCGUAAUUUCCAGCCUCAAGAUGAAGAUUACCUCAUUCAUGGCAGCCACACCAUCUCUUUCUGCCUCUAGUAGAGCCUCAAGCACUAUAAUAUCUAUGCUCAGACUGCUCUCCAGCGGUGUUGCCUCUGAACUGCUACCAUCUGGUAACAUGGAUGGCGCACUGCUUCCACAAAUAGAUUCUGGGGUUGUACAUUGUGUCCUAGUGUGAACGGCAUCCUAAAAGGUUUCCGCUGGACAUAAGUAAGAGAUAGUUAUCGUAUGAUCCAGGCAGUAAGCUUACAUGGUAAACGACGGACGAAAUAUUGCCGAGCAUGGCAAACUAUAUUUGAAUGGUUCGAAGCAGCAUCAGCCGAAAAGAAAUUAAAAUGGUAAGAUGAAACUAGGGAUGUAAGUGGCAAAUAAAUGACAUCCGCUAGUCCCAUCUAGUUAGUUUUUGCUACCUCCCUAGUUCAUUUUCCUCAAAAAACAAAAACUCUUCUGAACUAUCAUACCACUAGUGGACUUUAAUCGGGAUUAAACGGGACCCAGUUGACAUCCCUAGUUGAAAGGGAGUGUACAACCGCUAUAUUUAAGUUGCCAAGGAAUCUAAGCAGUUGAAAUAAUCUGAGAAAGCACUUAACAGUGUGGCCUCAUAUAAACUACGAAGACAGUCUUGUGAUGAAGUUGAGAGGAAAAUUUAAGGACUCAAAUGAAAUAGGCAUGCAUUUCUUUACGAUAGUACAACAGGCACUGCUGACAUAUUGGCCAACUCAGGUAUAGCGUAACAACAAACAAGCAUUUGAAUCAAGCAAUACAGCAAAGCAGACAACUGAACUAUUUGUAAUUCGGUAGGAUUACACGUUGAGGGCACAAGCCAAGAAAGCAGCCCACUCGCAUUACAUUUCACAUGUACUAAAACACAUUGGCUUACCAUAUGUUGCUGUGAAGCCUAGCUGCUGUUGCAAUGUUCUUUGAAAAUAUCGUCAGCAUCCCGUGGUUGCAGAUCUAGUUGUUGUAGUUUAUUCUGCACCAUCUAUUUAGGUAAAAUUAAUUUUAAUCGCAUGCACUGGUCCGAAUUGAUCAUCAAUGGUUCAUCAAAACUAAUGAAAGAAGGGUGUGUGCAUACACGACAAUAUAUCUGCUUCCCUCUGUUUUUAUGCUUGUUCGAGGUGCCGGCCCCAAAAGAACAAAUAUUUUGCUUGAUGGGGUUGGCAGCUCCAUAAUUAAUAGAAGCAUCAAAUUAGUCAUGCAACUUGGGAAGAUCAAGAACACACAAACAAGUAAUGAACACAGGCUCGGAGCAGUGAUGUAAUAGCUAGCAUCAGAAAAUGUAGGGUAAAACGAACAAAAAGUAGCGGAACCACAUGCUAGUUUGCUGAUGUGUAAUUAAGCAUAGAGAACAUUAACCAGUCUGAUGGAACCAACAGGUGGCAUCAGAACAAAACUAAAGCAUAUUAACUAUACUAGUAUGUAUGCACGUGCAAUGCACGUCUUAAAAGAAUGGAGUGAUUUUGGAGUGUGACUUGAAAAAAGUAUAAUGGAGUGAUUUUGAUAAAUGGAAUUCCACCCACAAUUGUUUUUAAUAUUCACACAAAAAACUGUACAUUCACAUCUAAAAUACUGGAGGUUCAUUAAAAAAUUGUAUGUUACUCUUUUAUUUUUUCUUCCCAUUCUCCUCCCAAACCUUCUUAUCUGGGCUCAUGUCGUCAUGCGCUCAAGCAGUAAUAUAGCCCAUGAGGCAUCGCAUAUGGGCCUUUUUUUUCCUGGAAGGGCCACGUGAAUAUUCUAGAACACAGCAGAGGCAACAACAUUCUAUUGUUCAUGGCGAAUCCGGCUAAUCUUAGCCCUUGGAUUUUGGAGACCAACGGUUAUGAUUGAUGCUCUGGAUCCAUCUCAAAACUGGUACACUAUAUAGUAGUACAGAUAUAGAUAUAGAUGUGCAUUGGUACGUAAUUUAGCACAUGUAACAUGUUCACUGCCAGAAGUAUGGCCCUACAGGUGCAAGCAGAAUAACGCGUCUCAUGAAAAACUGAAUGAUGCCCUGAAGAAAUUCAAAGGUGCGGUGCUUAUGCUAGGAAAGUGAAUGUAGGCGCCGGCCGUUGGAUGAUAGUACCUGAUUCUCAGUGGCGUAUGGGUAUCGUUGUCAUACUUGAUAGCUAAGGAUCAUCGACGUGGCUCGUGUUGCGGUUGAGUUUGGGUCGGCUGUCGCCGUCGCUGAAGCGGCUCCAGUGCUACGGUUGCGGCGCCUGUCGACAUACAAGAAAGCUCAUCUGUGGUAAGUGAACAGUUGCACGAUAAAGAGAAAAACUGAAGGAGUACAAAUCGAAAUAACCUGAUGAGGCUGCGGCUUUGGUAAAGGAGGGCCGGUGGAGUUGAAUAUGGCGUCCAUGGAGCGGGUCCAGUGCAGUGGACGGAGGCUUCGGCGGGCGCGUUGUACAGUGCUUUCGGUGAGGCGGAUCUGUUGCCGAGGACAAGGGCUUGUAUGAAGGGCCAGCAAAGGGGCGGACGAGGGAGUCAGUGAAGGGCCUACACUGUGGUGGACGAGGGCGCCGGUUAAGCAGAUCCGGUGUGGUGGACCAUGAUGGCGGUCAAGGAGAUCUAGAGCGGUGGACAAGCCUGUCGCUGAAGCGGCUCCGGUGAAGUGGUGAUUUGGCAGUUGGGGGUUCCAAGGUGCGGAAGGUAGAUCCGGCGGGGUGUGAGGUCCACCGCUGCGGCGGAGGACUAGAUUCGGCAGCUUGCCGUGGUUGGGGGUCGGGGAGGGGAAGGGGAGGGGCUCUGGGGAAGAAUGUUGGGGGCAAAGAGGGGAAAACAAUGGAGUAACCAAAGCAGCCCUUUUCCGUUCAUGUGGCAAGGGUAAAACAGGAAUAUCGCAGGGCUAAACUUUCGGGCGCGUGAUAUUUCGAUGUGAGCGGGAAGUUUGAAAGCUUUUGGCACCUAAAAUGAUAAGUAUUCUGCUCUCGUACGGCCGACUAUGAUAUCAUGGCCGACAAUUUGUUUGUUUUGCACGCAAAAAAAGUGCAAGUUUUGAAAAUCAAUGUCUCCAACUCGAAACUUAGAUUGUCCAUUCAAUUCAAAUAUGGAUCAUUGAGCUACUACAAGCAAAUACCAUCAUACGGUCCAAUUCAAAUGAAAUUACAAAUGUGUUUAUCCUAAAUAUGAUGACAAAAGCAAAAAAUGUGUAUGUGUAUGAAUAAAGUGAACGAUUAUAAAGUUUGAACAUGCCCGUAUGUGUAUAUCUCUAGGUUUGAUAUAUGAAUUUGAAAUCACGAAAUUCCGGCUUAAAAAAUGUACCUCCAUUUAAAUGAAUUACAAAAGCUAAUGAUGAAGUCAAAUUCCAAAAUUCCAAUCUUAGGUUUGUAAUUCUGGUACAUCAAGGUAUAUCAUGCAUGUUCAAAAGUAUCGUUAUCUCAUAGUACAAACUGUGAAACAAAUUGAUCAACCAUGAGUGCACAAUAUCUCAAUUACGCUAAAGUCCCUCCAAUAUAGACACCUCACUCUUUAUCUGAAGUCACCCCCCCCCACCCCCCCCACACACACACAUAGAGAAGUCGUUAUCUCCCCCAGACACCAACACACGAGCACAUUAACACCCCUCUCUCUUGUAAAGUCCGGACCCCAACAUACGUCUCUAUCACUUUGUCUCCCGGGCAUGCACACAUCUCUUCCCUCACUCUCUAGGUCUCCCGCUAUCUCUCUUACCCAAGCACAUGCACUAUGUAGAGUGUAUAUUUCCCAUACACACAAAACGUCGCCCCAAAACAUCUAUCUCCCUAAUUAUUUGGUUCUCGCGCACUCACCUCACACACCAGCCCCACUGCAAACAAGCACACUUUGUCUCCUUGUGCACCACUCUCCUCUUUCUAUCUCUCCCACAUGCAGACCCGCCCCAGCUCCUUCCCUGUAUACAUAUAUGUCGUGACUCUUUGCAUAGCUCCCUAAUGUAUAAUCGUUCUCGAUUUCGCACAUUGUUCUCUACACCAUCUAUUCUAGAUCUCUCAUGAAGUCCCUAUCACACACACGAUGACUCGUUUCCCCUGCGUCUCCGUUCAUAGGCCAAUUUCGGACAACAUCAACAUUGUCUCCUUAUCUAUACGCCAUUUAUGGACACAAACGACCCCUCUUGCCCCCUCUCUUCCUCUCUCUCUCUCUCUCUCUCUCUCUCUCUCGUUGCUAGCUCUCUCUUUCUCUCGCUCUCACACCCCUCUCCCACACACACACUCGAUGUCUCUUCCAAAUAGUCUGCUCCCCUUGCCCGCACCCAUGCUAUCUCACUACUACAAAUGUCACACCAUUCCCCCUUCCCUUAUACUAGGUUUACAUCAUCAGUGGUCUCUCUACUCCACAUACACUCUCUCCUUGUCACACACAAACGCGUGCACAAACACACACAAACACGCACAAACACCCAUUUAUCUGGAUCCUCAUCUCUCCCCAUGUCUGCAUGUGUAUCUCACACACUCACUCUCUAAUUAUGUAUAUGUGUCUCCAUGUUACACAACACAAAGCCCGAUGUACAUGUCUCUCUCUAUCCUCCACACACAUAGACACAAAGAAUCUGUUAUCAUUGCCUCAGUCUCUAACAUAUCGCACACGCACACUGUCUCUCUUUCUCUCUCUCUCUCGCAAACACGCUCAACAAGGGUUUCCCCGUGAAUAACUUACCGUCUACUCAUCAACAGUCGUGGCAGUAUGGCAAACACGAGACGUGAAAAAGAAUAAAUCUACACGUGCUUAGACCACCUAGUAGGACUAGAGCAAGCCAAAAAGCGCGCCGCCGUCACCCCCUCCUUGUCGACGACGGGAAAAUCUUUGUUUUACACAGUCGAGAAGUCAUUGUGCUAAGGCCCCACAUGCCGAGGCGUUGAAUAGAAUGUAGAUGCUAGUUUACGGAAGCAAGUAUCGAUAAUACGUUUGUAUCUCCAUACUUAUAUUUCUUCUUUUAUAAAAAACCGAGUUGGUGAUGAUGGUACGUGUGCCAUCUUGCAAUAUAGACCGUCUGAUCUAUAUCUGACGGAUGGAAAUUAAACUAAAAGAUACCCGCACCCCUCUCCACAUUUGCAGACAAGGCCUUCCCUCGUUCAUCCUUAUCUCCAACAAACCUCAUUGUUGAGCAAUUAAGAAAGGAAGCCUUUGGAACAAACUGGCCUAGUGGCCGCUGCCGGCGUCGUCAAUCCCCAUGCCUCCGCUCAGUCCGACCACCAACCACCACCACACCCAACUCCUCUUCACCUUAUCUCAUAUUUCUCGAGAUAUCAUUAGUUUUUAGACAUGGGAUUACUCCCGCAAGGGUCAAUCACAACAAGUGUUUUUAUAAAAAAAUGCAUCUUGAUGUUCCGUUAAUGCACGGAUCUUGCUAGUACUCUUACACAAGACUAAGUUGGUGAUGCUGGUGUGUCUGCCAUCCGUCGUUUCUGACCAUUAGAUCUACAUCUAACAAUUGUGAGGUAAGUUGUUGCCUUUUCUCACCAACAUCCCACUUGUCUACCAAUUUACAGAAAAACCCAUAAUUAGUAUCUUAAAACCAACCACAUCCCUCCCUGACCUCACCAAAACAGCCCAAGGAAUAUAUUAUAAUUGAAACAUAAUAUACAUAUGUAUAUCAAAAUUAGGGUGUUUUGUACCAAGUUUGUGAAUAAGUAUUAUUCUAAUUAUGAUUCGUUGCAACGGACAUGAACAUUGCUAGUAUUUCCAACCAUGUAUUUUUUUCUAGUAUUCCAUAGUUUUGAGUUUUCCAUCAAGAUAUUAGUCACUCAUGGUCGAUAUUUACUUUCAAUCAUGUACACAUAUGCACUAUGUAACUAGACUUGCUUAUUGGCUUCCAAAGCUUAACUUUCACUCCUACUUACAAUAUGUAGAGUAUUUAACAAAAAACUACCACUUUCAACCAGCCCUAGGAAGAAUCUAUUGUACAAAAAAUAGCAAAAACAUACCCAAAAUUUCUUAAUCCAUGCCAAAAACUUCUAUACUACCUAGUACUCCUACCGAUUAGGUUCGUUUAAACCCAUUUAUGACUGGGUUGGCCCACACGUCCGCGCUGACAAGGCAGCUUAAACCAACACAUUUUGUUUGACCGUUGACACGAGGGACCCAUAUCUGACCUUCUAUCCUAUUAUUCCCCCUCAAAUCAUUAUUUUUCCUGAACAUUACUUCAAACGGUACUGAUGCGUGUUCGUCGGUGGCGCCGGUGAUGAGCGAGUUGGCCGCUGCUCCGCCGGACAGGCCGGAUGCCACGCUGGCCUCCGCACGGGUUGGCAGGCUGGCCCAAGCGUGACUCACGAGCGAGCAAGCCGCCGCGCUGGCCUUCGCUCGAGCCAGAUGGCUGGCCUGAGCGCGGCGUGCGCGAGAAAGCCGCCGCGCUGCCGUGCUAAUCUAGCUAGCAAACCUUGCAGACAAGCAGCUGGACGGAGCUAUCUUGGCUAGCUAGCGGCCGCGAGCGCCGGACGGAGCUGGCAUCCAGGCUGCCGCAACAUGGGCUCCGCACCGCCGGCGGUUUUGACCUCACCUUCUGCCGGCGGCGGUAGCUACGUCCCAUGGCCGAGGAUGGCUAGGUGGAUGGGUCGGAGGUAGGAGGUCACUCGAGGAUUUUGGUUGGUAAGAGCAUGUACAAUGGUUGAUAAGGUAGUCUUAUCUUAAGUCUGCCACGUAUGCAAGUGGUAGUAGUUUCUUGGCAUUUUAGUGGUUUCUUGCGUUAUUAGGGGUUUCUUGUAAGGAACAAUGUACGUACUACUAGCGACAAAAGGCGAUUCUAGGUUGCGUUGUACUCCAACGAGUACUACUAGUGGUCGCGAGAGUGUAUACCUCAUUUUGUGGGUUCGAUCCCGGCCGAACGCACGGCGGCCUUUUUAAAAAAAAUAGUACUAGUACUACACUUCACUGCGAGCCAAUAUUUUACACGGGUAGUUUGAGUUUUGAAGUCAAACGGACGUGUGGCCCCACAAUCUGGGUGCACUGGACAGCCUAGCCACGUGAACUGGUUUUCCUUCCCAGCAUCCCGUGGCUCGCGUGCUCGCCCUAGCCGCACCUCGCUUGCAGCUUCCUCAUCAGCUAAUAGUAGCAUAUUUAAACUAGCGCCUCCCAAUUAAGCCCGAGGAGCCGGAAAAGCCUGGUGGGGCAUUGGGAACUGUGCAAUAUGGCUCUGUACUCUAUGUAAAGUGUUGUACUACUAGUACUCUAUAGCUUGUGGCGUUGCACGCAUGGACUUCACUCCAUUAUCGGCUCUACUAUAAAAGAACGGCACCGAGUUCGACCCCUGUGAUGCUACGUGGGUGCCGAGGAACACUCUUGGAGAGUACUCGCUUUUCAUUGGGGACAGCUACCCCAUUGUGAAGUGGAUGCCACCUUCCGUGCACGACACGGAAGGCCUGCUGUUCAUGAAGCAUGGUUGUGUCUUCAUUGUGCACCGCCAGAUGAACAACAUGCUAGGACAUGCUAUCCCUGAUUUAUGCCGCUUCAGCUUGGAUGAGUCUCCAUCAUGUGGAACCUGACUAGAAAGCUGCGACAAUGAUUCCCGUUGCCCACCACAAUGGACCGUGCCAUCCAUGAAGAACACCUGGGACUGGAACCUGGAGGAGGACAUGCAUGUAGCCCAUCUAUAACGUGUAAGUGGAGUACGGUAAUUGUGAACGGUAGCGCUGUGAAUAUAUGAAUACUAGUCGUGCACAAAUUUAUCACAUGAAUUGGAGAUGAACUUGUGUGGCAUACUCGCAUUUGUCCUUUAGAAUUUAUUACUAGUAAAUGUGUUAUGUGUACAUGCAACUUGUGUGGUUGUUGCAUGGGCUCCAACACGCUCUUUGAGAAAAAAAGGUGGCACAGCUCUGGAUAUACGUGACGUGGCGGCAUCAUACAAUAGCAUCAUUCGCUAUAGUGGAUGACAACUCCUAUAAAACCUUGCGCUUGGCUCUUUGCCUCUUCGGGAGGUUCAACAGUUCGUACUCGUGUGAACCUUGCACUUGCCUCUUCACCUCUUCGGAAGGUCCAACAAUGAUGAUACUACAGUACAAUAUGCGUCUGGCAAUCUGACACUGAUUGAACUGCUGCACGUCCACCGCGAGGGCAAGGGCGAGGGAGAGGAAGAGGGAGAGGGCGCUGUAGUCAAAACCCUCUCCUCGUCCUGCGAAGCACCGAGCGUGUGGGCGAGGGAGAGGCAUAGUAAGCAAGCUUCUCCUCGUUCGGCGAGUUGACGGGACACAUCAAAGCAGUACUAGUACUAGUAGUAGUCCAUACUGCGUCCUUUCCGAUUAAUAUGGCUUAAUUUGAAACGAGAAAAAUACACUGGCGGUCAACGUAUGUAACAAUACGCUCUUUACGGUCACUAUAUAUAGUUUUGCGUCGAUUAUACGAUCACUAGCUCAUCGUAGAGCACUGUAUUGCACCCUGCUGACCAGCCACAUAGUCGACGUGGCACUUUGUUGACUGGUUAAAUUGUCACCUGGUUUCUGGGUCCCACCUGUCAGUUGACGGAGCAAAGAAAUCAGUUAAACAAAACUUUACGCAGGCGCCACACGAGUCCAACCCUUGCGCCCGAACCGCCCUGGCUGUGUAUGUGAGUGCAUGCACGUGUCCUCCCUCGGCCUUCCAACAAAGAGUGUACAUCGGCUAUAAAACAAAGAGUGUAGUAGUGCAUGAUGUACAUCUACACUUCCAAUGCAUUUAGCCUUUAAUCUAAAUCGAUAUUGAUUGACUAAUGCACCAACUUGUGCUGUAGGUAUAGGCUACAUGUCUAUCCUUAAUUACAGCAUGCAACGGCCUUCAUUUAAUCUUCUUAUCUCAAUGGUCGCAUGCACACAUAAGUCUGCUACUUUUGGGCGUUAAUUAUACCCUGGUCAAUGUGUAAAUCUCUAAAUGUACAGUCUUUCACGGACGUAGGGAGUAGGUUGAGCACUUGAGCGUGAGCGUGUGUGUUGCGUCGUGUGUUGUGUGCCACAUGGGUGCGUGAGUGUUGCGUGCGUCCAUGUGGAGUACGUGUGAGUGUUGCAUGUUGCAUGCAUGCAUGCAUGCAUGAGGCUUACUCCCUCCCAUUGACAUGUUCAUAUUUCAAACUUCCUCCGUUCCCUCCAUAUGGUGAUACUCCCUCUGUUCCCAAAUACUCCAGUACGGAGUAAAAGCCUCCCUCUGUUCCCAAAUACGGAGUAUUUGUCUUUCUACAGAUUUCAGCAAGUGACUAGGUACGGAGCAAAAUGAGUGAAGUGAGCGUAGAGGCAUAGGGAUACUGUAGAAAGGUAAUCCUCGCGAUCCAUCAUUCCCCAUCUCGGUCAGAGAGAACUAUUCAACUAGUCUUCACACUGAAGUGACAAUACACGCUGCAGCAGAUGGGACACGUAAUUAAUAAGCUGAACCAGCGUGUUGGUGUUACUAAAUCAGCCUUACCCAGUACUGCCAUCAUGUUUGCCAGUAGAGCACGCUUCCGCAAAUAUGCCUACGCACUUGUGUCCUCCAUUAAUUGGCAUAUGGGCCCUCUUGUGGUAGACCCACAUGUCAUCGGUGUAACUAUUUACACUCCGGAGGACGGUGCCUAUAUCCUGGUAGUAGUACUAGUAGAAUUGAGAUUUAAUGCACUUUCUUCCCCGUCUUCCACUCUUCUUCCUCCUCUCUUCUUCUUCCUCCUCUCUUCUUCUUCCUCCUCUCUUCCCCAUCAUCGGCCGCACACCAUUUACCCCCGCUCACUGCUCGCCCGCCCGUGCCAUCUUCCUUGGUAGCUUGCGCAUACCAUAUCCCCCCGCUCACUGCUCGGCCACACAAGGAGAAGCUUCUUCGCUCGCCCGCCCGAAUCCACUUCCCUGCUGGCUCGCAGGCACCGAAAACCCUAAUGGCAGAACCGACUAACACGCAGAGCCGCGAUUGGAUUUCCCUCCUCGAUGUUCUCUUGGAGAAGAUCUAUAGUCGUAUGGACCUAUUCAGCACCGUCCGUCUGGCCGCAUGCUCGGUGUCUUUGUACCGUCUACUCGUCUGCAACCAGCCGCCUCUUUUCAAGACACCCUACUUGCUGAUGCCCGAUCCUCGCAGGUGGCCCAGACACCGACUUGACGAUCCUACGGAGGUUGCGGUGGUGCCCCUCGACAUGCUACCGCUACCCGUCCACAUGUCCUUCAUGCGCCGCCACUACUGGGCGGGCAUGAAGGCCAACUGGAUCGUCCUCAUCCACCACACCGGUAGUCCGUGGUGUCUCGUGGAUAUCUACACCCAGCGAGAGAUCACCCUUCCAUCGUUCAAUACCACCGACAUCGAGCCUCGCGGCCCGCCGGACACUCCUACCUACUACGCACGAGACGCGUCAAGCUUUUGGCUCGACCUCUGUUUGCAGAAAGUUGUAACCUGCGAAGUGCCCACACCAUCAGAAGACUACAUGGAUUACAAGCUCAUUGCCUUGUUCAACAUGGGAUUAGUCUAUCUGGAAUCCGGUCGCCAUACAUGGUUAUGGCUCAUCAUCAAUUCUGUUGAGGCAACAUUUCUGUCUGAUGCUAUAGUGCACAAUGGCAUCGUUUACGCGGUCGACACACAUAUUGGCUGCCUAUACUGGUGGAAUCUAUCAUCGUGUAAUUGUUCUAUCUCAUCUCAUCUUUACCUUAUGAAUACGACUGCAUGUUCAUUUGUUACAAAUUUAGAAUGCAUAGCAUGUCUAUAACCACAUCAUUGCUAUAUGUUCCUCUCAUUUCCUAGAUUUUUAUGACCACAAAUGUUAUUGUUAGAGUUGAUAUGAGAACAAUUGGCAUCUAAUGAUUGUUAGAAUACAUAUUAUGAGCAUAACAUCAUGAUUGCUAUAUGUUACUCUCGUUUACUAGAUUUUUAUAACAACGCAUGUUAUUGCUUAGAGUUGAUAUGAGAAUGGUAGUAGUAAGUGCUAUGGUAGAAUAUGAGUAGGCACUGUCAUAGCUGUUUUCCUCUCAUUGUUACAUGAUGUUUGAACCAUGACAUGUUGCUAGAAUAUGAAAGCCAUCGGCUUAUUUUUUUAACUUGGGGUAUGAUUAUGACUAUGGCAUUGCAAUUCUCUGUCUAUGAUAUGUGUCACUGUUAUAAUAAUCUUAAUUCCACACAUACUCUGAACAUGAUUGUUUAUUUUUGUCCUUUUGGUCUCCAAUUUGAAUUGUUGCAGCAGACGCAAAUGUGCUGGCCUUCAUGAUUCCAGGACCUGGAAUCAUACCAGCCGAUGGGUGCUGGUUUAUCGCUCGUUCAGCUGACGGCGGUCAUUUGAUGCUCAUUCGCACAUACCAAAUUGACCAAACCAUUACAUCAAACCACAUGCAGUACAAUGCGUGGGGCGUUCAUGACAUUGAUGGCUAUGGCUGCUUCGUGUUCGAGAAAGAUCCCAGCUCCGUUGGGCCAGGCGUAUUCAACUGGAGGCGGGUUUACAGCCUCGGCAACCACUCCUUGUUCCUCGGGCUCAAUUAUCCGAUCAUCCAACCAAUCAUCGAUCAUAUCACCGGCGAUGAUUACUGUGCUAUGCAACUUCCAUUCGCGAGGAGGGGCUGUGUUUACACAUCAUACCAUGGGUUUCAUGGAUCACCAUAUCCAGAGAUUCGUCGACACAGCUUGUUGCCAGGUAAUCUUCAGUGUGUGAAAGGCAUCAAGCUUCCAUGCGAUGGAUGGCUUUUGCAAACCCGACAUGCGGCGAUGUGGUUCAUGCCAACAGCAAAUAUGCACAACUUGAUUCGUGCUGAUAUCUAGACUGAGCCAUGUAUUCUGCUGCUGUAGCACGACCCUCUUUUGUUGGAUAUUAUGUACUGUUGUUAGUUUGAAGCACUCCUCUGGUUUGAAGGAUAGAUACCUUCCUGCGAUCAAGUGCAUCCUAACUCACCUGCGUAGGAUGUACUGAUAAUGAUGAUGGAGAUGUUGUGCAGAAGCCAUAUAUAUAUACAUAUAUAUCAGUUAGGCUUCAAGUGUGUACUUGUUAGUUAAACCUAUGUAUAAAUUGUGACACUAAAUACGACUAGUAAGUAGUAUAGUAGCAGUACUAGUAUACGUCGGUCAAAUUAUUCAUCAUGUCCACACAUUGAAUUGACGUGACAACACACUGCGCGUGAGGUGACUAAAGAAUCCCGGUGGCGUGUUCAGGUAUUCCGGACUUCAGAUUUGGAGUACCACUUAUCUGUCGAAAUCUUUUUUUUUGAAACGGAGGCAAAAGAUUUGCCUCAUCCAUUAAAUAAGAGGAGAAUAGAGUUUAGAGUUUUUACAAGCGCCCUUGCAAAACGGCAUGGCAAUUGCUCUCGUACAACUGUCGAAGAAGCGCGAGUUUUUCACUGUCAAAAUCUAUCAUCAUUCACUUAAAACAGUUGAUUGGUCAUACAUUGAGUACCAUAUAACUGGAAUUACCGAUGCAAGUCGAAGAAGGAUUGGCCGGUGCUGCCGGCUGGCGUCAAGUUCGAUCCCACGGAUCAGGAGUUGAUCGAGCACCUUGAGGCCAAAGUGAGUGUUGACAGCGCGAGAUUUUAGUCUCUCAUCGAUUUGUUCAUACCAACCAUCGACAGCAAGGACGGCAUAUGCUACACCCAACCUGAGAAACUUCCAGGUAAGACACCGAUCGGCCGUCUACUUGCACAAACAUAUUCCUUUGUUUAUAGCUCUAUUUUUCUUUUUAGACGCAGACCUGGUGAAACAAUUACAGUUUGACAGUUAAUAAAAAGUGAAACAAGUGACUGCAACAUGCCAAAGAUGUUAUGAAAAUGCCAACUAGGUACACUAAAACCUGUAUUCGACAAUACUGCGGGUAUCACACUGAGUGGCCUAAGGAAGCAUUUCUUCCAGCGCAAUUCCAGGGCGUUCAAAAGGGGCACAUGGACGCGUCGCAAGAUAUAGUCGGAGUGCGGCACGCACGCGAUGUGGCACAAGACCGGCAAUAUCUUGCCUGUGAUGGUCAACGGCCGGCAAACGGGCAACAAAAAAGGUUCUGGUGCUGCACACCAACAAGAACUUCGACCAGCAGAGGACCAACUGGGUGAUGCACCAGUACCACAUCGGGGACCUGGAGCAAGAGAAGGAGCGGGAGCUGGUCCUCUGGAAGAUUUUCUACCAGACGAACACUAGGGCCAGGAGUAGUUUGGUAUUGGUAGUUGUACUACCUUGUCAUCCGCAAGUUGGUAUUGUUGUUAAGAUCUUUUGGUAUGAACUUGCAUUUGCUUCCAACCAUCAUGCCGAGGGUCGAUGUGGAUAUAAAGCUGAAUCAUUUGUUUCGAAAUGAAUUCUCAGGCACCUGAUUUUUAUUUGAUGGGUAGCAUAAGCACCCGCCGUUCGAAUUCCCAGUUCUGCAGUUUUUUUGAAACAAGUGCAUGCACUUAUUAUCACGAUAAAAAAACAAUAUCCGUGCUGCGUCCCAGUUAUCAGUCUGUGCUUGCAGAAUUCUCUCAUUUAUUGAGCAUGUAUAUUGUUUUUUCAGGUCAAGCAAGUUUCAACUGGGCUGUAGACUGACCAGGGUUGGUUUUGUUUUUAACAGGCCCAGCCCAUGACGACAACGGGGCACAAAGAUCCAGCAGGUAUCUACUGGCCUCUAGCCCGCCAGCGUUAGUUAUAUUUUGUCUUACAACAUCUGCAGGCAGUUUUGUUACUGAAUCAAACACACAGCCCAGUUCUAUUUUCCUCUUGAAACGCAUGUCCUACAUCCGUUUUCUAAUCUCUACCUAUAGUUUUACUAGUUCAUAUACAUGUAUCAUUAUAUUGAAAACACAUAAAAUUCCCUUUUCAUAUUUACAUCCUUAUUUUUGUUGUUUUUUUCCACCGAGCGCUGAUUUUUUUACCACUGGUUUUCCCUUAAACCAACUCAAUUGUCCCACGUCUUAUUUGCUUACAAAAACAAAACGAUUUUUUUGGCAAAUCAAUAAAUUCUUAAAAAAAUGUUUAUCAUUUCGGGAUUACAACAGUUUGGACUCCACCGAAAUAUGCAAAAUAAGGUUGAACUUUUUGACCGUGGUCCUGGGCAGAAAAUGGGCUGUAAUAAAUUACUUAAGAAUUAGCAAAUGGGCUGCAAAUUAUAAAAAAUAGCAAAUGGGCUGCAAAUUGUAAAAAAUAGCAAAUGGGCUUUAUGUUGUCUGCCACAGAUUUGGAGGCUGACUUGUGGGCCUACUAAGUUCAUGCGUACACAAGGUUUCUUAAAAAAGAAACUUAGUCAACAAUCGACUCUACCAGUGUCAGACCAUUAGAUGUCAAUCUAAUGGCAAUCGUGCUUCUUCAGUCUCUGAUCUUCCUGCCCCAGCCGUCGGAACCGCUUGCUCCCGCCUCUCGUGGCCGGCAAUACUGCCGGGCAGGCCUCACGGCCCCAUCAUACUCGCAUCCCUGGCCUAUCUAUCCCUCUACUCACCCACAACUCCUGUUAUUUUCCGGCGACGGCAGCCGAACCAGUCAACCCUCGUACUCUCCACCGCGUGGGCAGCCACUGCCGUGUCUUCGCCGGCUCCCUCUCGUUCCCUUCGUAGGCCUCACCGUCGUCCACCGCCCUGGUGCUCUCGCCGCGGCGUGGUCAAUGAUGUCCAUCCAACGGCCGUAGUGCUUCUUCAACCUCUGGUCUUCUUGCCCCAGCCGCCCAAAGCAGCGCCGGUUGUGCCGCAUGCUCCUGCCUCCUGUGGCCAGCUGUGCUGCCGCGGAGGCCUCACCGUCCCCAUACUACUCCCACCGCUGGCCAGGCCAUCCCUCCACUCAUCCACUCCCCCUGUUAUUCUGCGGCGACGGCAGCCUCACACCGCAGCCGAGCCAGUGAACCCUCGUACUCCUUUCCGCGUGGGCAUCCAUUGCCGCGUCUUCCCCGGCUCUGCGUCGUCCCCUUCCUAGGCCUCGCCGUCGUCCACCGCCCUAGUGCUCUCGGAGCGGCGUGGUCAAUGUGGUCAACGACCGACUUCCAUCGGAAGAGUACUGUACAUGGAGAGCUAACAGCUGGGUCCACGGCAGCUGCAAGGAAGUGCCUCCUUAUUACGCGGAAAAUAAUUAUUCCUUCACCUGACAGCAGGGACCCACCGGACGGGCCACCAGUAUUUCACGGAAAAAACGUUUCCCCCCUGAUUGCUGUGACCCACCGGACGGGCCACCGUAUUUCGCGAAAAAAACGUUUGCCCCUGACUGCUGGGACCCACCGGACGGACCACCGUAUUUCGCGAAAAAAAUGUUCCCCCCGCUGUCAGCUCGGACCCACCGGAAGUGCCUCCUUAUUACGCACAGAAAAAUGAAUACUCCCUCUGGUAGCUAGGACCCACCAUGGUGGGAGGCUGACUUGUGGGCCUACUAAGUUGACGGGGACAGAGGGCUUUGUCAACUUAGUCAAUAUGAAUGAUUCUAGCUCCAUUGACCAUACGAUGUCCAUCCAACGGCCGUCGUGCUUCUUCAAUCUCUGCUCUUCCUGCUCCAGCCGCUCAAACAAGCGCCGGCGGGACUGCCUGCUCCCUCCUCCCCGCGGCCGGCUAUGCUGCCGCGCAGGCCUCACCGCCCCCACCAUACUCCCAUCGCUGGCCUAGCCAUCCCUCUACUCACCCACACGGCCACACCUGCUGUUAUUCUCCGGCGAGGGCAGACGAACCAGUAAACCCUCGUACAGUCGUACUCCCCUCCGCAUGGGAAACAACUGCCGAGUCUUCCCUGCCUCUGUGUCGUUCCCUUCCUAGGCCUCGCCAUCGUCCAUCGCCCUAGUUCUCUCAGCGCAGCAUGGUCAACAUGGUCAAGGAACGGCUUCCAUCGGACGUGGACUGUAUGUGGAGAGGCUGACAGCUGGGUCCACGGCCGCAGCAAGGAAGUGCCUCGUUAUUAUGUGCAAAAUAAUUAUUCCUCCACCUGACAUCUGGGACCCACUGGAAGGGCCUCUGUAUUUCGCGAAAAAACGUGCCCCCAGCUGACAUGUCGGACCCACCAGCUAUCUUCGCACGCAAGGAAGUGCCUCCUUAUUACGCACACAAAAAUGAAUACUCCCCCUGCCAGCUGGAACCCAGCAUAGUGGGAGGCUGACUUGUGGGCCUACCAAGUUGACGAGGACAGAGGGCUUUGUCAACUUAGUCAAUAUGAACGAUUCUAGCUCCUAUUACCGUACGAUGUUCAUCCAACGGCCGUAGUGCUUCUUCAACCUCUGGUCUUCUUGCUCCAGCCGCCCAAACCAGCGCCGGUCAUGUCGCGUGCUCCUGCCUCCCAUGGGUGGCUAUGAUGUGGCGGAGGCCUCACCGCCCCUACUACUCCCACCACUCUCCAGGCCAUCCCUCUACUCACCCACACCCCCUGUUAUUCUGCGGCGAUAGCAGCCUCACACCGCAUCCAAACCAGUGAAUCCUCGUACUCCUCUUCGCAUGGGCAUCAACUGUUGCGUCUUCCGCGGCUCUGAGUCGUCCCCUUCCUAGGCCUCACCGUCGUCCACCGCCGUGGUGCUCUUGGCGCGGCAUGGUAAACGUGGUCAAGGAACGACUUCCAUCGAACGAGGACUGUACGUGGAGAGGCUGACAGCUGGGUCCACGGCCGCCGCAAGGAAGUGCCUCCUUAUUACGCGCAAAAUAAUGAUUCCUCCACCUGAUAGCGGGGACCCACCAGACGGGCCAUCGUAUUUCGCGAAAAAAUGAUUCGCCCCCCUGACUGUUGGGACCCACCAGCUACAUCUUUGCAUGCAAGGAAGUGAGUCCAGGCACACAAAAAACGAUUCGCCCCCCUGACUGCUGCGACCCACCAGCUACAUCUUCACAUGCAAGGAAGUGCCUGACAGUCGGGACCCACCUGGUCGAAGCGUACGUAGCAUUGUCAUUCUGGUCGCGAACGUGUACGUACAUACUGGUAAAUGUAGAGGCGCGCAUGUGUCGUAGAUGUAGAGGCGCGCACGUGUCGUAGUAGAGGCGCGCACAUAGCAUGUACACAUACGUAUAGCGGCAAGGGUGCAAGAAAGAAAAUACAGCCACGUACGUACAUACGGGCAGGGUCUCUAAUGCCUAUCGCGCAUACGUACACGGCUUGGUCGGAACGGAGAAACAGCGUCGUCGUCGUGUUCAUGGGGAGCCAACCGGCUGGGUCGGAACGGAAUGUGUGGUUGUGUUCAUCGGGAGGGCUUGGAUGGAACAGGCAAUGGAAACGAGGUCUGGAGUACCGCACAACGGAGGAAACGGCCUUGUGUUCGACCGGCCACGUUCGAAACGGGGUCCUGUUGAUUGGGAGGGGCCUGGCGUACCGCAAAACGGAGGAAACAGACCUCCUAUGGUCGAAAUGGGGGUCCUGUUGAUCGGGAGGGGUGUGGUGUAUCGCAAAACGGACGAAACGGACUUGUGUUGGAGCGCUACGGUCGAAACGGGGGUCCUGUUCAUCGGGAGGGGUGUGGCGUACCACAAAACGGACGAAACGGACUUGUGUUGGAGCGCUACGGUCGAAACGGGGGUCGUGUUCAUCGGGAGGGNNNNNNNNNNNNNNNNNNNNNNNNNNNNNNNNNNNNNNNNNNNNNNNNNNNNNNNNNNNNNNNNNNNNNNNNNNNNNNNNNNNNNNNNNNNNNNNNNNNNNNNNNNNNNNNNNNNNNNNNNNNNNNNNNNNNNNNNNNNNNNNNNNNNNNNNNNNNNNNNNNNNNNNNNNNNNNNNNNNNNNNNNNNNNNNNNNNNNNNNNNNNNNNNNNNNNNNNNNNNNNNNNNNNNNNNNNNNNNNNNNNNNNNNNNNNNNNNNNNNNNNNNNNNNNNNNNNNNNNNNNNNNNNNNNNNNNNNNNNNNNNNNNNNNNNNNNNNNNNNNNNNNNNNNNNNNNNNNNNNNNNNNNNNNNNNNNNNNNNNNNNNNNNNNNNNNNNNNNNNNNNNNNNNNNNNNNNNNNNNNNNNNNNNNNNNNNNNNNNNNNNNNNNNNNNNNNNNNNNNNNNNNNNNNNNNNNNNNNNNNNNNNNNNNNNNNNNNNNNNNNNNNNNNNNNNNNNNNNNNAGUUAGCAGCAGUAGUGAAGGAAUCCUUCCAUCGGGUUCAGUUAACAGCCAUCGAUCGAUCCCUCAGGUUCAGUAACGCGUAGCCUGUAGUGCAAUCGCUCGGGUUUAGUUAGAGCCCAACGCCUCGCUCGGCUUCAGUUAGAGCCAACGCCUCGCACACACGCGCAUACGUACGAGAGAAACGCGCAUCGCUCCGCCCCCGACCUCCCACCAUAACCGGCAACUCCCCAAAAUUUUCCUCCCCCUCGCUUCUACCACGGUUUUUUUCGUCAUGGACGGCCCAAAGAAUGUCAUGCAGCUGCGUCUCCGGCCCGCCCAGGACGAAAAGCCCAUUUUCUAUCAUGAUUUUUUGUCAUAGAAGUAGGAGCCCACCACAUCUAUGAGAUACCGGGUUUUGUCACAAUUAUCGUCAUAGAAGUGUCCUAUGUAUGACAGGAAAAAAAUUCGUUCGGCCCAAAAUGUCACGGAUGUGUCUUUUUUUGUAGUGAUUGUUCGGGCCAUCUCAAUAAGAGUUAUGUUCUUGCGCUUGGCAAUGCCAUUCUGCUAAGGUGUGUAUGGAGCAAAGAACUCAUGAGUGAUACCCAUGGUAUCCAGGAAGAGGUCGAGGCCGGUGUUCUUGAACUCAGUGUCGUUGUCGCUUCUGAUGUGCUUGAUCUUGACACCGUAGUUCGUCAUGGCACGGUUGGCAAAGCGUCUGAAGACAUCCUGCACUUCAGUCUUGUAGAGGAUUAUAUGCACCCAAGUGUAUUGAGAGUAAUCAUCAACAAUGACGAAGCCAUAGAGGCAAGCAGUAGCAUUGAGAGUGGAAUAGUGAGUAGGGCCAAAUAAGUCCAUGUGCAGCAGCUCGAAGGGUUGAGACGUGGUCAUGAUUGUCUUUGAGGGAUGCUUGGCUCUUGUCAUCUUCCCGGCUUCGUAGGCGCCACACAAAUGAUCCUUCUUGAAUUUGACGCCUUCGAUGCCCACAACAUGCUUCUUCUUUGCGAGAGUGUGCAAGUUCCUCAUGCCAGCAUGUCCUAGCCUUCGAUGCCAAAGCCAGCGUUCUGAAACUUUUGCUAGAAGACAUACAGCCAUCUGUGGACCUGCUGAGAAAUCUACCAUAUACAGAUCACCUUUUCGAUAUCCUUCAAAGACUAGAGACUUGUUAGAUUCCAUCCGUACAAGGCAGCGAUAUUUUCCAAAUAGCACAAUCAUGUUUAAGUCACAAAGCAUUGAGACAGACAUUAAGUUGAAACCAAGGGAUUCAACAAGCAUCACUUUAUCCAUGUGCUGAUCCCUUGAUAUUGCAACUCUACCUAGACCCAAUACCUUGCUUUUACCAGUGUCAGCAAAUGUGAUGUGGCUUUUGUCUGAUGGACAUAGCGUUCAAUCCAUCAGAAGACUUCGAUCGCCAGUCAUGUGAUUAGUGCAUCCACUGUCCAUAAUCCAUUCUGAAGCACGAGGUGUCGUAGCCUACAGUGCAGUUUGGGGGAUAGGCUUCACCAAGCAAGUUGUGAAGCAGAAACAUUUAACGAGCAAGUGGAACAUGGAAAUUCAGGUCUUGGUUAGGAUAGACAGGAUGAGUAUCAAGAAAAUCUGGAAUGGAAUACAUAGUAAGACUAUUUAGGCAUUUUAUCUUGCGCCCAACAAGAUUUUUCAGGUCUCCAGCAUUAGCUUCGGAUGCUUUUGAUUUCCGACUGGAGACCUUCCCUGCAAAAGAGAGUUAAGUUUUCUUAACCACCCACAUCUUCAGGGGUGGCUUAGAAGCAAUGAGUCUAAGUGCAGCAUCUGAGAAUUUUGGCUUUUGAGCCCUAGUAAAUAGCCUUGCAGGGGGUGAAUAAUACUCAUAUGAAUAAGCAGAAAAGUUCUUGGUUCUAUGAACAUAGCGGUUUAAUGAAACAUGCUCAUAUUCAUGGGUCUGAGUAUGAUUUUCCUGCAAAACAUUGAUGUUAGGGUGACUCAGAUGAGACCUUGGUCUGUAUGAAGCUUUUGGAAUGUAUGACGCCUUUGGUAGGGGGUUUGUCUUCUUCACUGGUGGUGUCGUGAUGACAUUCACAGGAAGAUUCUCAAGGCAACUCUUGGGUACCCAUAUCUUCUUCAUAGGUGACCCAUUCCUGCAGUUAGUACCAAUAUACCUCGCAAACACUUCGCCAUUCUGAUUCUUAAACAGUUUAUAGUUUGCAUCAAAGGAUUCAUCAAUGAUAAUAGGGUUAGCGCAAGUGAAACCAGAUAAGGUGGAUGGAUCUACUGGAGGUUCCUUUGCAGCAACCCAGGUAGUUUUGGGGUACUGCUCAGGCUUCUAGUACGACCCAUCAACAUUCAUUUUCCUUUCGAACCCAACACCCUCUUUUCUAGGGUUUCGGUUCAGAAUCUCCUUUUGAGGACAUCACAUAAUGUCUGAUGCCCUUAGAGGCUUUUGUACAUCCCUGUCUCAAGCAGUGUCUUCAACCUGGCAUUCUCAUCGGUAAUAGUGGUGGUAUCCUCAAUAGAGGGGUUAGUUACCACAUCAGCAGUUGAAUGUAUUGCAACAGGAGUAGCAGUAGAACAUUCAGCAACAGAGGCAGCAUUAUCACGUUUAAUGCAUAUUAGACAUGGUGGUUCAAAUCCUUCCUGAGCGGGACUGAUCUGUUGAGCACGAAGUGACUCGUUCUCUUUUUGAAGAUCUUCAUGAUCCAAUCUCAAUUUCUCAAGUUCCUGCUUCCUUUGAAGAUAAUCGUAGGAAAGCUUUUCAUGAGAUGUUGAGAGGGUAUCAUGACGACCUUCAAGUUCCUGGUACUUAACAUGAAGAUUUUUUUAUGUCUUUAAUGAAGGACUGAGUCUUAGUCAUUUCCGCGUCCAACAGGUCAUCGCUUUUGUCUAAUAGUUUUUGAAUAUGUUCCAUGGCAUUCUGCUGUUCAGUUGCAAUUUUAGCAAGUUUUUUGUAGCUGGGUUAGGAAUCACCAUCAGAGUCAUCUUCACUUGAUGUUUGAAAGUAAGCAUCGCGAGAGUUUACCUUGCCACCACGUGCCAUGAAGCAGUAGGUGGGAGUCGAGUCGUUCUCGUCAUUAGUGUUGGUGACGGAGUCAUUGUCUUCAGUGUUGAAGAUGGACUUGGCGACGUAGGCGGUAGCUAGAGCCAUACUUGCGACACCAGAGUCAGACUCCUCCUCAGACUCCACCACUUCCUCCUCAGAAGCAGACUCCUCCUCUGAAUCCAUUUCCUUGCCAACAAAAGCACGUGCUUUGCCUGAUGAGCUCUUCUUGUGUGAUGAAGACUUAGAGGAAGAUUUGGAAGAAGACUUGAAGGAUUUCUUCUUCUUGUUGUCAUCAGAAUCAUAUUCUUUGCUCUUCUUUUUCUUCUUCUCACUGUCCCACUGUGGACAUUCAGAGAUGUAGUGGCCAGGUUUCUUGCACUUGUGACAGGUUCUUUUCUUGUUGUCAUAGGUGGAAGCUUCAUUGUCCCUUGAGCUGGAUCGUGAAGACUUUCUGAAGUUCUUCUUCCUUGUGAAUCUCUAGAACUUCUUCACAAGCAUAGCAAGCUCCUUUCCAAUGUCUUCAGGAUCAUCAGAAUUGCGGUCAGAUUCUUCUCCAGACGAGGAAGCCGCAGCCUUUGCCUUCAAGGCACGAGUUCGGCCGUAGUUGGGGCCAUAGAUAUCUCAUUUCUCAGAUAGCUGGUACUCAUGUGUGUUGAGCCUCCCGAGUAUGUCAAACGGAUCGAGUGUCUUGAAAUUAGAGCGUUCUUGUAUCAUCGGGGCUAAGGUGUCAAAUGAGCUGUCAAGAGAUCUCAGCAGUGUCUUCACAAUUUCAUGCUUCGUAAUGUCAGUUGCACCGAGUGCACGGAGCUCAUUGGUAAUAUCAGUGAGGCGAUCAACUGUGAGCUGGACGUUCUCGUUGUCAUGUCUUUUGAAGCGGUUGAAGAGGUUGCGAAGAGUACUGAUUCGUUGAUCACGCUGUGUUGAGACGCCUUCAUUCACCUUGGAGACCCAGUCCCAGACUAGCUUCGAUGUUUCCAGAGCGCUCACACGGCCAUACUGCCCUUUGGUCAGAUGACCAUAGAUGAUGUUCUUGGCGGUAGAGUCCAGUUGAAUGAACUUCUUCACAUCAGCGGGGGUGACACCUUCACCAGUCUUGGGAACGCCAUUCUUGACGACAUACCACAGAUCGACAUCAAUGGCUUCAAGAUGCAUGCGCAUCCUAUUCUUCCAGUAGGGAUAUUCAGUGCCAUCAAAGAUGGGACACACAGCGGAGACCUUGAUUAUCCCUGCAGUCGACAUAGCUAAAACUCCAGGUGGUUAAACCGAAUCACACAGAACAAGGGAGUACCUUGCUCUGAUACCAAUUGAAAGUGCUAGUUAUCGACUAGAGGGGGGGUGAAUAGGCGAUUUUUAUGGAAGUCCUCAAAACAUGGGAGUUUCGAAGACAAACAGGAGAAACAACACUAUUCAUAUGCAGCGGAAGGUAGACUAUACUAGACAAGCCAUAGUCAAGUAUUCAAUGAAGUGAAAGCAUGAAGACUAUUAGCAGCUAGGUAGUAAGGAUCAGGGUGGAAGAUAGUAUGAAGCCAAUCAGGACAAGUAGUCAAACAGUGAAGUCAAACAGAUUAUGCAAGCAGGCAAUGACUUCACGAAGACAAACUAUAAGUAAAGAGAAGUGAGAAAUAGAACCAGUAGCUUCAGGGAGACAGUGGUUUGUUCGACCAGUUCCAGUUGCUGUGACAACUGUACGUCUGGUUAGGGAGGCUGAGAUUCAACUCAGAAGACAUCGUCUUUAGCUUAUUCCCCUUGAGCUAAGGACACCUACUCCCCGCCCAAUCACUCAGGUAAGUCUUCAAGGUAGACUUCCAAACCUUCACAGGCUUUGUUCACCGGCAAUCCACAAUGACUCUUGGAUGCUCAGAACGUGAUGCCUAACCGGCUGGAGGAUUCACAGUCCUCAAGUGUAACAAGUCUUCAGAUCGCACGGACAGAAAGACUUCAGUUAUGCCAAACACACUCUGGGCUCUGGGUGGUUUGGGCUUUGUCCUUGCAAGGAUUCUCUCUCUCAAAGGCUUCGGAGGUGGGUUGCUCUCAAACGACAAAAGUCGUAUCUAACUCUGAGCAGCCACCAAUUUAUGGUGUAGGGGGUGGGUUAUUUAUAGCCACAAGGAAACCCGGCCUGAUUUUUUCGAAAUGACACUGGGUCACUAAGGAACUGACACGUGUCACAACGGUCAGAUUUCAAACACACGCGGCAACUUGACUUGGGCUACAAGUAAAGCUGACUUAUCCGACUCUGGAUAAGAUUUGCUCUCAUUGUCUUCGCUCGAAGACAUAGGAUUUGUUUGAGCAUCACUUUAGUCACUCUGACUUUGUUCACUGGGACCCCACUUAACAGUGUGGUGGUUCCUAUGACUCAACAAAGAAGAAAAGGAAACAACGAAACAACUAAGUCUUCGCGUUCCAUAGUCUUCACUCAAUGUCUUCUCAUGUCAUAGUCUUCAAUGUGAAUAUCUUCACAGACCAUCAUUGUCUUCAAUGUCUUCACACAUUUUUAGGGGUCAACUCCGGUAGGUAAACCGAAUCAAUGAGGGACUACUACCUGUGUUAUCCUGCAAUUCUCACAAACACAUUAGUCCCUGAACCAGGUUUGUCAUCAAUACUCCAAAACCAACUAGGGGUGGCACUAGAUGCACUUACAGUUGAUACGUCUCCAACGUAUCUAUAAUUUUUAAUUGUUCCAUGCUAUUAUAUUAUCUAUUUUGGAUGUUUUAUAUGCAUUAAUAUGCUAUUUUAUAUUAUUUUUGGGACUAACUUAUUAACCUAGAGCCCAGUGCUAGUUUCUGCUUUUUCCUUGUUUUUGAGUUUUACAGAAAAGGAAUAUCAAACGGAGUCCAAACGGAAUAAAACUUUUGCGAUGAUUUUCCUUUUGGACCAUAAGAAACCCGUAGGACUUGGAGAUGAAGUCAGAGGAGUCCCGAGGUGAUGACAAGCCGCCUCAGAGGUCCUCCAACCCUAAUCUUUGGCCUAUAAAUUCAGAAAUAUUCCCAAACCACCAGAAGCGUACACCAAAAUACUUUUCCGCCACCGCAACCUUCUGUAACCGUGAGAUCCCAUCUUGGGGCCUUUUUCGUUAAUCCGUCGGAGGGGGAUUCGAUCAUGGAGGGCUUCUACAUCAACCCUAUUGACCUUCCGAUGAAGCGUGAGCAGUUUACCACAGACCUACGGGUCCAUAGCUAGUAGCUAGAUGGCUUCUUCUCUCUCUUUGAUCUUCAAUACAAUGUUCCCCUCGAUGUUCUUGGAGAUCUAUCCGAUGUAAUAUUCUUUUGCGGUGUGUUUGUCGAGAUCCGAUGAACUGUGGAUUUAUGAUCAGAUUAUCUAUGAAUAUUAUUUGAAUCUUCUCCGAAUUAUUAUAUGCAUGAUUUGAUAUCUUUGUAUUUCUUUUUGAAUUAUCGGUUUGGUUUGGUCAAUUAGAUUGCUUCUUCUUGCAAUGGGAGAGGUGCUUAGUUUUGGGUUCAAUCUUGCGGUGUCCUCACCCAGUGACAUAGUAGGGGUAGCGAGGCACGUAUUGUAUUGUUGCCAUCAAGGGUAAAAAGAUGGGGUUUCAUCAUAUUGCUUGAGUUUAUCCCUCUACAUCAUGCCAUCUUACUUAAGGCGUUACUCUGUUAUUAUGAACUUAAUACUCUAGAUGCAUGUUGGAUAGCAGUCGAUGCAUGGAGUAAUAGUAGUAUAUGCAGGCAGGAGUCGGUCUACUUGACACGUAUGUGAUGCCUAUAUUCAUAAUCAUUGCCUUGGAUAUUGUCAUAACUUUGCGCUUUUCUAUCAAUUGCUCGACAGUAAUUUGUUCACCCACCGUAUGUUUUCUUUCAAGAGAGAAGCCUCUAGUGAAACCUAUGGCCCCGGGGUCUAUUUUUCAUCAAAUACUUUCAGAUCUAUAAACCAAAAGAAACAAAAAUACCUUGCUGCAAUUUAUUUACUUUUAUUUUGUAUUACCUUUUAGUAAUCUUUUAUAUCUUUCUCUACCAGAUCUCAUCCUUGCAAGUGGUCGUGAAGGGAUUGAUAACCCCUUUAUUGCAGUGGGUGCAAGUGUUUGAUUGUUUGUGCAGAUGCAUAGAUUGAAGACUUGCUUGUACCUCCUACUGGAUUGAUACCUUGGUUCUCAAACUGAGGGAAAUACUUAUCUCUACUUUGUUGCAUCACCCUUUCCUCUUCAAGGGAAAAACCAACGCAAGCUCAAGAAGUAGCAGGAAGAAUUUCUGGUGUCAUUGUUGGGGAGGUUCUACAUCAAGCCUACCAAGUACCCACCAUAAACUCUCGUCUCUUGCAUUACAUUAUUUUCCAUUUGCCUCCCGCUUUCCUCUCCCCCACUUCUAAAACGUUUUCAGAAUAUCACAAAAUAUUUGCCUUUUUAUUUGCCUUCUUUUCGUUUGCCUUUUAUGUCUUACUUGGUUUGUUUGCUUGUUUGCUUGGAAUAAUUGUGUAUUUAUUGAAAAUCAGAAACAAAAAGGUUUAUGGAUCCACUUAAAGUUUUCCACUUGGAUCAUCUUCGAUCCAUAUGUGCUCGUGCUGAAACCCCAACUAGUUUAGUUGCGGGAAAAUCUUUAGAUGAGCAUGCUCAUUUUGUGCGUCACCAUUUGUCUGAAAAAGGGAGACUCUUAUGGAAUAAAUAAAUUCUUUGCUUUGUUAUGCUUGGAAUCUUUGUGAACAUUGUGAUUUUACUUGUUGCUCUAAGAACCCUAAAAAACACCUUCCCUACCUAUGUGAGUAGAUGAAGGGGGGAUAUUAGCUGGGUAAGGAAAACGCUUUCGGAGAUUGAGAUGUCGAUUUUUUUUCAUAGAAAAGGAAGAAGGCUGAGGGGAUAGUAGCCUUCCUUCGGGCUUUGCCUGCCGACGUUCUAAUAAAGAAUUCCGGCUCGGCCCGGGAAGUGCUGGCAACAACAUAAAGAAAGGGGUCCAUGUAGCUGCUGUGCCCGCCCACUGAGCAGCAGGUUCGGCAUCUACUACAAAAGAGAGAAUCCACUUCAAAUAACCACGUCUCUGCUAGGCAGCGUGUGGAAUGGCCUAGAGCGGUAAUGAUAAUGAAAUCCUAUCUUCUUAUGAAAAGGGUGUUUAUAGUUACUAUGAUAUCGAACAAAUUGAAGAAUUUGUUGCUUUUAAGGAUGCUUAUGAAGUUGCUUCUUUGAUUGAAAAGUAUGAUAUUACUCUCUACAAAUCUGAAAAUUUUGACAUACUUAAAUAUAGCUAUGAAAACUAUAUAUGCUCAUAAUGCCUAUGUUAAGGAAUUUAUUAAGAGAAUGUCCACUGCUUUGGAAGAAAAUAAUGAUAUGCAUGAACCUGUAGAUAAUUAUGAUUCCAUUGAUUUUAUUGAAAUAUCCCUUGUUUAACAUGAUGCUUGCUAUUCUUAUGGCCAUGAUGCCAAUAUUUAUGGAGAUGAAUUUGCUAUAGUUCCUUAUGUUAAACAUGAGAUUAUUGCUAUUGCACCCAUACUUGAUAGUUCCUUAAAUCAAAAUCAUGAUUGCAAUGAUGUUAUUAUAAAUUCUAUUAAUGUCAGCUUUGCUAAUAUGCAAAACCCCAAGCUUGGGGAUGCUAGUUCUGUUAUAUCCACUACUUAUUGCAAUGAUCAUGAUUGGGGUGAUGAUGCUUUGAUGUCUACUACACAACUUUAUUCCUGUAGACUCGUGUUGGGCCUCCAAGCGCAUAGUUUUGUAGGACAAUAGCAAUUUUCCCUCAAGUGGAUGACCUAAGGUUUAUCAAUCCGUGGGAGGCAUUGGAUGAAGAUAAUCUCUCUCAAGCAACCCUUCAAUCAAAUACAAGAAAUCUCUUGUGUCCCCAACACACCCAAUACAAUGGCAAAUUGUAUAGGUGCACUAGUUCGGCGAAGAGAUGGUGAUAAAAGUGUAGUGUGGAUAGUAGAUAUGAGUUUUUGUAGUGCGAACAAUAAAAAAACAAGGUAGUAAAUAGUAAGAUGGAGCACGAAUGGUAUUGCAAUGAUGGAAAAUGAGGCCUAUGGUGCAUACUUUGACUAGUGCAAUCUCUCAACAAUGCUAACAUAGUUGGAUCAUAUGAUUAUCCCUCAGAGUGCAAUAAAGAAUCACUCUCGAGUUCCUAUUAGUGGAGAACAAAAGAUAGAAAUUGUUUGUAGGGUACAAAACAACCUCAAAGCUAUUAUUUCCUAUCAAUCUAUGCUAGAGUUCGUACUAAAAUAACACCAAGCUAUUCUUUCCGAUCGAUCUAAUCAAUAGUUCUUACUAAAAUAACACCAUAUGAUACAUAUCAACCAACUCUAAUGUCACCUAGAUACCCCAAUGUCACCGCGAGUACCCGUGAGUUAAUUAUAUGAUAUGUAUCAAACAAUUUCAGAUUCAUAAUACUCAAUCCACACAAAGAACUACAAGGAGACCCCAAAGUUUCUAUCGGUGAAAAGAUAAUAAAAACGUGCAUCAACCCCUACGCAUAGAUUACCCCAAAGUCACCUCAGGAAUCCGCAAGUUGAGUGCCAUAACAUAUAUCAAGUGAAUCAAAAUAAUACCCCAUUGUCACCACGGGUAUUCAUAUGCAAGACAUACAUCAUUUGUUCUCAGAUCUGAACAUUCAAUCCGACAAGACAAAACUUCAAAGGGCAAAGACUCAAUUCAUCACAACAAGAGUAGAGAGGGGAGAAACACCAUAUGAUCCAUCUAUGUUAAGAAAGCCCAUGAUACAUCAAGAUUGUAACAUCAUCUCAAGAUCAUGAGAGAGAGAGAUUAAACAGAUAGCUACUGGUACAAACCCUCACACCGAGGGUGGACUACUCCCUCUUCAUCGUGGUGGCCGCUGGGAUGAUGAAGAUGGCCACCGGUGAUGAUUCCCCCCUCCGGCAGGGUACCGGAACCGAUUGGUUUUCGGUGGCUACAGAGGCUUGCGGCGGCGGAACUUCCGAUCUAGGGUCUCCGUGAGGGUUUUUGGAAUAUUUGAGAAUUUAUAGGGCGAAGAAGGGGUACGGGAGGCCACCGAGGUGGGCACAACCCACCGGGUGCGCCUGGGGGCCCAGGCGCGCCCUGGUGGGUUGUGCCCCCCUCGGGGCACACCCCCCAGGUGCUGCUCUGGCCCAUUGGUGGUCUUUUGGUCCAUAAAAAUCCACAAAAAGUUUCACGGUGUUUGGAGAACUUUGAUUUCUGCAUAAAAAACAACACCAUUGUAGUUCUGCUGAAAACAGCGUCAGUCCGGUUAGUUCCAUGCAAAUCAUACCAAAAACAUAUAAAAUUAUUGUAAACAUGGCAUGAAUACUUCAUAAAUUAUAGAUAUGUUGGAGACGUAUCAGCAUCCCCAAGCUUAUUUCCUACUCGUCCCCGAGUAGGUAAAUGAUAAAAGAAAUAUGAAGUGUGAAUGCUAGCAAAGUGCACAAGUUUGAUCAAUGACAAUUUCAAUCACUUUUCCUAGCAUCAUAUCAGCAAUUCUUUCUUAUAAAACUUCUCAUGUUAUAGUAGCAACCAAUUCACAUGUUAAGGUUCAAACAAUGAAUUCUCUUGAAACUCAACAACCUAUGUUCUCAAUCACCAAGCAAAUUCAACUUAUUCAACAGAGUCUAAGUAAGAGCUCCACAUACUCAACCAUCAUAUAGUCUUUUAUGAUUGCUAACACUCACCACAUACACAUGAGUAAAAUGUUUCAACCGAACACAUAGAAAGAUAGGGGCUUAUAAUUUCGCCUCCCAACGUAUUCACCUCAAGGGUGAUGUCAACAAUAAUAACUCAUGCUACCCAUAUCCAACUGGAUAUAUGUGCCUAGAUCUUUCCUCACCACAUGAUGCUUGCAAAAGGAUAAAAAUAAAAAGGAAUAGAGAGAAAAACGUUGACUCUUGCAUGAAAGUAAAUACUGAAAAGUAACAGAUAUGAUGUUUGCAGAGGGAAGCAGAGGUUCCCAUGCGCUUAUUUUUUGUGUAAGUGCAUCUAGUGUCCCUUAGUGAUUUUGGUGUAUUGAAGACUUAUAGCUUAAGGGACUAAUAUGUUUGUGAGUGUACACAGGUUCUUUAAGUCGAUGAGGAGUUUGGCAUUUACAGUGAAAGUCUACCCCUAAAAAUGAAUGCCUUCAGCUAAAGACUUUGGUUCUCCUGAAGACUUUGAAAGUGAAGAAAUUGGUGUGAUCGUGAAGACUUGGAUAUUCAUGCGAGGAUUAUGAAGCAUGAAGACUUUUGUUUUCGUAGUUUCAUUUUCUCUUUCUUGAGUCAUAGGAAACACCGUACUAUUAAAGGGGGUCGAGGUAAUACUAAGGAAACUGAUUUCCAAGUGAUGCUCAUCUCAAAAUUCUACACCUACCCAAUCCUUUCGAGUGAAGCCUUUGGAAAUCUCAUGUCAGUUCAGUCAAUUUCUUCAGUGACAGAGACGAAGAUAUUCUGGUCUCUGAGGAAUUUGUUCUGACUGAGGAGUUAGGAAUUCGCUAGUGUAAAUCACCUACACAGUGAGGAACAUGAUAGCCCUGAGGAAUUCGAACCUCAAAUCCGGCCGUUGUUGUGCCACAUGCCAGCUGUCCAAAAUAUCCUACCACCUAACGGUCAUAUUAUUGAAGGGCAUUUAUGCCUUAUCAUGUCAGGUUGCUCCCUAGGCUAUAAAUAGCCGCCCCCUACAACCACUAGUUGGUUGGCUGCUCUGAGAGAAACUGACACUUGUCAAUUGAGAGCAUCCCAUCCUCCGAGGACUUUGAGCAAAAAUCAUCAAGUGAGGAAAAUCCAAAUCCUAAACCCAAACCUACAAAACCAAAGUGAUUGAGCAUCACUGAAGAGAUUGUUCUUGUGUGGAACCAAUGCUUUUUACCUUUGAGGACUGUGUAUCCUCCAGACGGUUAGGCGUCAUGCUCUGAGCAUCCAAGAGGAAUUGCGGAUCACCGAGUGACCUAGUCUGUGAAGGUUUGGAAGUCACCUGUGAAGACUUACCACUACUGUUGGGCGAGGUCUGUGUGAUCUUAGCUCAAGGAUAAUACGAUGAGGACUGUGUGUCCGGGAUUGUGUGUCUUUGAGUUUAAAUACUCAGCCGCUCCAACCAGACGUACAACUGUCACAGAAGUUGGAACUGGUCUACCAAAUCAUUAUCUUCACCAAGCCUACUGGUUCUAUUUCCUCAACCCUUCCAUUUCCUCAUUCAUGUGUUGAUGAACCUAAUCAUUACUAUUUGAAGACUUUGACUGAAGACUUUCUUUAUUUCCUCAAUCCAAUUUCUUCAGUCACAUUGUCUUCAGCCUGCUUAUCAUGUGUUUACGCUUUCUGUACUCUGUGUCUGUCUUUCAUUUCAUCAUGAUGACUAUGCUUUUGCUCUGUUAUGUUUAUACCUGAGUACUUAUUCCGCUGCUUGUAGUUCGUGACUUAGGAAUUUCCUCACCCAGAAAUUCCUCAGUGACGAAUUUGUAAAAAUCGCCUAUUCGCCCCCCUCUAGUCGACUUAACGCACUUUCAAUUGGUAUCAGAGCAAGGUACUCCCUUGUUCUGUGUGAUUUUGGUUUAACUGCCUAGAGUUUUAGUUAUGUCAACUACAGGUAUGAUCAAGGUCUCGGCUGGGUGUCCUACCUUUCAUGGGAUGGACUACCCCUACUGGAAGAACAAGAUCUGCAUGCAUCUUGAGGCAAUUAAUAAUGAUCUCUGGUAUGUUGUGGAAAAUGGCAUUCCCUCUGUCACUCCAUCUGUGAAUGCUGAUGAUGUGAAGAGAUUCAAGCAACUCAAUUCUCAAGCGAAGAAUAUCAUAUGUGGCCAUCUGAGCAAAGGACAGUACGACAGAGUGAGUGCCCUGGAAACUGCCAAGCUGAUUUGGGGCAGGCUGUCCAAGGUCAACGAAGGAGUCUCAACUCAAUGUGACUCCCGAGUUGAUGUUCUUCGCAAUAUCUUCAACCGCUUCAAAAGACUCGACAACAAAAAUGUUCAGCAAACCUUCGAUCACCUCACUGACAUCUCAAAUGAGCUUCAAGCACUUGGUGCCACUGACAUCACCAAUCAUGAGGUGGUGAAGAAAUUGCUGAGCUCACUUGAUACCUCAUUUGAUACCCUUGCACUGAUGAUUCAAGAGCGAGUUGAUUACAAGUCACUUGAUCCCGCUGAUAUCCUCGAGAGGCUAAACACACAUGAGUUCCAGCUUGCUGAAAAGAGAGAUCUCUAUGGACCGAGCUAGGGAAGAUCACGUGCACUAAAGGCCAAGGCAGUCUCUGAGUCUGAAGCUGAAGACUCUGGUAGCAGCCUUGGUGAUCUUGAAGAACUGAGCCAGGAGCUAGCAAUGCUCGUGAGGAAAUUCUAGAAGUUCUCUUGCCGUGGUCGCUUUGGAAAGUCUUCAAGAAAUGAUGAUUCCUUGUCUCGUGACUACAAAAAGAGAACUUGCCACAAAUGCAAGAAACCUGGUCACUACAUGUCAGAUUGCCCUCUGUGGGAAAAGGAAUCAAAGAAGAAGUAGUACAAAGAUGACGAUUCUGAUGAUUCAAAGAAGAAGAAAAAGAAAUCUUCAAAGUCUUCAUCAUCAAAAUCUUCAAAGUCUUCAUCGCACAACAAGAGCAGUUCCAAGAAGGCUCGGGCAUUCAUUGGCAAGGAAAUGGACUCUGAAGCUGAACUUGAGGACAAUGUGGAGGAGAAGGAAUCUCAGGAAUCAAACUCUGGUGUGGCAAGCUUAGCCCUUGCUACCGCUUACGUCAGCAAGUCCAUCUUCAACACUAAAGAAAAUGACCUCCCCAACUCUGCUGACAAAAGCUUCGGUGACUAUGCUCCCACCUACUGCUUCAUGGCAAAAGGUGCCAAGGUACUCAAACAUUCCCCCUCUGACUCUAGUGAGGAUGAAUCUGAUGACAAUCUCAAGCCUAGCUAUUCCAAACUUGCUAAAAUUGUUGUUAAACAACAGAAGGCUUUAGAAAAGAUUCAAAAUCAACUAGACAGAAGCGAUGACCUGUUGGGUGAGGAAUUGAAUCGAACCAAGACCCUGACAGAUAAUCUUCAGAGACUUUAAACUCGGUUUGACAACCUUCAAAAUCAUAAUAACACCCUCUUAACUGAUCAUGAGAAGCUUUCUUAUGAAUUUCUUCAAAGAAAGCAAGAUCUUGAGAAGUUCAAAUUGAGAUAUGAAGAUCUUCAGAAGGAAAACGAUUCAUUGCUUGCUCAACAGAUCAGUUCCGCUCAGGAAGAAUUUAUUCCACCAUGUCUGAAAUGCAUUGAGCGUGAAUCUACUAAUUUAUCAUCUGAAUGUUCAAAUGCUUCUAUUGCUGCAAAUUCUUCAACUGUCUCUGCAGUCACAAAUUCCUCAUCUGAGGAUACCACACGUAUCACUAACGAUAAUGCAGGGCUGAAGGAAUUAUAUGUGACAGGCAUUUACAAAAGCCUCAAAGGGCAUCAGACUCUAUGUGAUGUGCUCAGAAAGCAGAUCUUGAACAGGAACCCUAGGAAAGAGGGUAUUGCCUUUGAGAGGAAACUCAAUGCUGAUGGGACCUACUCGAAACUCAAUGGUGAAGGAAUUGUAUGUGACAGGCAUUUACAGAAGCCUCAAAGGGCAUCAGACUCUAUGUGAUGUGCUCAAAAAGCAGAUCUUGAACAGGAACCCUAGGAAAGAGGGUAUUGCCCUUGAGAGGAAACUCAGUGCUGACGGGACCUACUGGAAACCUUAGCAGUAUCCCAAAAACCUCAUGGGUUGCUGCGUAUGGACCUCCUGUAGAUCCAUGCACUCUAUCUGGCUUUACUUGUGAUUCUUCAUAUUCCUCUGAUGAGUCAUUUGACUCCAACUAUAAACUAUUUAAGAAUCAGAAUGGUGAAGUAUUUGCUCGAUAUGUUGGAACUAACUGCAGGAACGGUCCCCCUAUGAAGAAAAUCUGGGUUCCUAAAAGGUGCCUUGAAAAUCUUUAGGUGAAUGUCAUCAUGACACCACCCAUGAAGAAUAGGAACCCCAGAUCAAAUUCUUCAUAUGGAUCAAAAUCUUCAUAUGGAUCCAAGUCCUCUUCUGGACCAAAUUCUUCAUAUGGAUCAAAUUCCUCACAUGGAUCAAAAUCCUCAUAUGAACAUCAUCAUGCUAACCCUUCUGUUUUGCAGGGAAAGUCUAAAGGCCAUGAAUAUGUGCAUUAUUCUUCAAACCAUUAUGUUCAUAAGUCCUCGAAGAAUUUCUUUGCUUAUUCAUAUGCUUAUCCUAACCACUCUUCUGUGAAAUGAAGUGCACUAGCUUCAAUGCCAUCUUUUCUUAUGGAGCUCGAAGAAUGAUGAAUUCUUUGCCACCCCUCCAAAUGUGGGUGGUGAAGAAAAAGGACUAAUCUCUUAUGCAGGGUCAGGUCUCUAGAGGAACUUGAUCGUCUGAUGAAAUUGCUGGAGACCUGAAUGUGCUUGAAUGGACGCAAGCUAAUCAUGAAGAAAUGAAUCAUUCAUUUCUCACGUCCUCAUAUUACUAUGUCUAUUACUGUUAAUGAAAUUGAUAUCAUAUUCUUCACCGAUGAAGUAUAUGGGUUCGUAAGUUGCACUAAUCCAUCUGCAGGAUGAACAACCUAAAGCUACUGAGUGUGUCCUCGAUAGUGGAUGUACAAAUCACAUGACCGGUGACAGGAACUUGUUGAUGGACACUGACUUUUCACCAUCUCAUCUAAAGGAUAUCACCUACGCUGACAAAGGCAAAAGCAAGGUAUUGGGUCUAGGUAAGGUUGCAAUCUCAAAGGAUAGACACAUGGACAAAGUCAUGCUUGUCGAGUCCUUAGGAUUCAACCUCAUGUCUGUCUCAAUGCUUUGUGAUCUUGAUAUGAUUGUCAUCUUUGUCAAAUAUUGUUGCAUUGUGCUGAUGGAAUCUGACAAUUCCAAAGUCUUCGAAGGCUUUAGGAAAGGAGACUUGUAUAUUGUUGCUUUCUCUACAGGACCACAGCCUGCCACAAGUCUACUUGCAAAAGCUUCAGAAUGAUGGCUAUGGCAUCAACGACUUGGUCAUGCUGGGAUGAGGAACUUGCAUACACUCAUGAAGAAGAAGCAUGUCAUUGGCAUCGAGGGUGUCAAAUUCCUCAAAGAUCAUCUUUGUGGGGCUUGUGAGGCUGGGAAGAUCACCAGAGCCAAGCAUCCCUCGAAGACCACUUCUCGUCCCUUUGAAUUACUUCAUAUGGAUCUCUUUGGCCCUACUCAUUAUGCCAGUUCUCUAGUUCUGCAUCACUAUAUGGCUUUGUCAUAGUUGAUGACUAUUCUUGUUACACAUGGGUUCAUAUCAUCACUUACAAAAAUGAAGUGCAGGAAGUCUUCAGACGAUUUUCCUCAAGAGCUACUACUAACUUUGGUGUGAAUAUCAAGCAUAUCAGGAGUGAUAAUGGAACGGAGUUCAAGAACAAAAGGCCUCGAUGAAUAUCUUGAUAUACUUGGUAUUACUCACGAGUUAUCUGCUCCUUAUACUACUUAGCAGAAUGGCGUCAUGGAGCGCAAGAACAGAACACUUGUUGAGAUGGCUCGCACCAUGCUUGAUGAGUACAAGACGCCUCAACGCUUUUGGCCUGAAGCCAUUGAUACUGCAUGCCACAUCAUCAAUAGGGUAUAUCUUCACAAAAUCUUCAAAAAGACCUCAUAUGAACUCCUCACUGACAAGAAACCCAAUGUAAGUUAUUUCAAAGUCUUCGGUGCUAAAUGCUGGAUUAGAGAUCCUCACCAUCACUCUAAGUUUGCAACGAAAGCACAUGAGGGCUUUAUGCUUGGUUACAGAAAGGACUCGCACACCUACAGAGUCUUCAACAUCAAUCAUCGCAAGAUUGUUGAAACUGUAGAUGUGCGGUUCGAUGAAACUAAUGCCUCACAAAGAGAGCACCUACCUCCUGUGCUAGAUGAAAUGUCACAUGAGGAAUCCAUCAAGUUCAAAGCUACUGAGGAUAUCAUUCCUACCGAAGAAUCUGCUGAAGAAGUCAUUCUAGAUCGUGAAGAAAAUCACGCUGGUGCUGCUAAAGAAACUGGUCCUGAAGAAAUUGCUGGGCCUAAGCAAAGUCAUCAACCCACACAUCCUCACGUUGCAAACGAAGUGCAUAUCAAGAAGAUCAUCGAUGACAUCAACGCACCGGGUCCUCUCACGCGCUCAAAAGCUUCACAUUUAUCUAACUUUUGUGGGCAUUUUACAUUUGUCUCUAUCACAGAACCCAUGAAAGUUGAUGAAGCAUCCAUGGAAUCUGAGUGGAUUCAAGCCAUGCAAGAUGAAUUGCAUCAAUUCAAUCUCAACAAUGUGUGGGAGCCUGUCAAGCGACUAGACCCACGCAAGCACAACAUCAUAGGUACCAAAUGGAUCUACCGCAACAAACAAGAUGAAAAUGGCCUCGUGGUGAGGAAUAAGGCUCGUCUUGUAGCUCAAGGCUACACACAGGUUGAAGGAGUUGAUUUAGAUGAAACUUUUGCACCUAUUGCUAGACUUGAGGCUAUCCGCAUAUUGCUUGCUUACAUUAACCAUCAUAAUAUCAUCUUACAUCAAAUGGAUGUGAAAAGUGCAUUCCUCAAUGGUAAGCUUGAGGAAGAAGUAUAUGUUGCUCAACCACCAGGUUUUGAGGAUCCAAAAUUUCCAGAUCACGUCUACAGACUCAACAAGGCCCUCUAUGGCCUCAAUCAAGCACCUCAGGCGUGGUAUGACACACUGAAGGAAUUCCUCACGAAGAAAGGCUUCAAACCCGGUUCACUUGAUCCAACUCUUUUCACCAAAGCAUAUGAUGAUGAAUUAUUUGUGUGCCAAAUAUAUGUUGAUGAUAUUAUCUUUGGCUGUACUAACCAACAUUACAGUGACGAAUUUGCCCACAUGAUGAGUGAAGAAUAUCAAAUGUCUAUGAUGGGAGAAUUGAAAAAAAAUUAGGUCUUCAAAUUCGUCAACAAUACAAUGACAUAUUCAUAUCUCAGGAGAAAUACCUCAAGUAUGUGUUGAGGAAAUUCGGCAUGCAAGAUUGCAAAGGUGUCAAAAUACCUAUGCCCACUAAUGGCCAUCUAUGCACUGAUGAAAAUGGUAAAGACUUAUCAAAAGGUAUACCGCUCCAUGAUUGGCUCUUUAUUGUACCUACGUGCCUCUAGGCCGGAUAUUAUGCUUAGUGUUUGCAUGUGUGCCUGAUUUCAAGCUACACUGAAGAAAUCACACCAUAAGGCUGUGAAGCAUAUUCUUCGAUAUCUAGCUCACACACCAACACUUGGAUUAUGGUAUGCCAAGGGCUCUUCCUUUUAUAUCAUUGGAUAUUCAGACUCUGACUAUGUUGGUGAUCGGGUGGACCGCAAGUCAACGUCAGGCACAUGUCAUUUCCUCAGACGAUCCUUGGUAUGUUUGUCCUCGAAGAAGCAGAACUGCGUUUCACUCUCUACUACUGAAGUUGAGUACAUUGCUGCUGGAUCUUGCUGUGCUCAAUUGCUAUGGAUGAAGCAAACCCUCAAGGACUAUGACAUCAAUGUGAAGAAUGUGCCACUCUACUGCGACAAUGAGAGUGCUAUCAAGAUUGCUCACAACCCAGUUCAGCACUCGAAGACAAAGCGCAUCCAGAUUCAUCAUCAUUUUCUUCGUGACCAUGUGUUGAAGGGUGUCAUCUCCAUCGACCAUGCAAAUACUGAAGACCAGCUGGCCGAUAUCUUCACAAAGCCCUUGGAUGAGAAGAGAUUUAGCAAGUUGCGGUGUGAGCUAAAUAUCUUAGAAUCUUCAAAUGUUCUUUGAAAAGGACACACAUCCUAACACUUAUGCAAACUUGAUGACUUAGAUAUGCAACACACGAAGUAACAUUUUUCUUCAAUCAAUGAAGACUAACCCUCUAAGUGUGAAGAAAUUAAUGAAGAAAUUGAUUCCCAGAACCCUACGACAAUUGUACGCGGUGUCUGAAAUCAUCAUUCUUAUACGGUGGGAUACGCCACCAACCAAAGUUGAAAAUCUUCAAUUUGAGUUUUUGUUCGUUUUUGAAAUUCCUCAAUUUUUCACAUUCUUCAACUUUGCAUUGUCUUCACUCUUUUCGUCGUUGUUCUUCAUUGACUAUAUAUAUACUUGAGUUUUUAUGUCCUCUACAGCAUUCACUUAUUGCUAAUUCUUCAAGUUGACUUUUUCUGCUAAGUGAAUGUGAUUGGACCCUUUCCCCUUCUAUGCUAAACUCAACCUAGUCUAUUCACAAAUUAUUCAUGUGCCUUCUAAUUAAAACUCGUCCAAACUCUUCACUGUGUCCUUGCCAGCUGAAGAAAUUGCGAACGAAACAUUAAAAUAUUCUUAUCUGAAUUUUCGGCUUUUGCCGCUCAAAUCAUUACUCUUCCCAUGAUAAGACUUAUCUAUUCACCCACGAUCUUACACGAUCGCCACCACACUGUACAUGGGUGACACAUGUCGCUAGGAUGAGAAGGGUCAGGGGCACGUUCAUCCAUUUUCCUCGAGCGAGCGGUUUUUCACUUCGGCUAUAAAUACCCCUCACCCUCCUCAGACUGCAUUUACCCCGCUCGAUCUCACUCCCCUCGCUCAAGCUCUCAAGCCCUAGCGCCGCCGCUACCUUCAUCGUCAUUAGUGAGGAAGAGCUUCACUGCCUCGUCCUCGUCGCCAUCGUACUCGCGCCGGCCGCGGACAUCUUCUCUCUACCACCGCCGUAGUCAUCUUCCUAUGCCAAGUUAGGGCGUGGAAGAUCCGGACAGACGAACUUCUCAAUCUACACUCCCAGUUCGUCUUGUUCUUCGUCAAGGGUAAUUAAAAGUUACUUUUACUGCCUUUGUUACUACUGAUAAUUUUCAUCAAAUCUUCAAAAGGUGUUUAUUCUUCAACUUCCACACUCUAAACACCUCACAUAAUCAUCUGUUCUUGAUCUGUUUCUCUAAGUGACGUUUUUCUUCAUAAUUCCUCAAUUGUGUGAAUCUCACCAUUUGCACAACUCUGGAACCUAAGUCAAAGAACGCUUAUUGAAAUUCUUCAAGACACAUCUGGUCAAUUUCCUUAAACUUGUUCCGUUUUGCAAAAACUUUUGAGAACGCAUAUGACCUCUCCUAAUUCUUCGCACCUAUACUCUGUUCACAGGUACACAUGUCUACUGCUGAAUCACUAGGUUCUCAUCAGCUUAACUCAUUUGCAGCGUUCCUCGAAGAAAAGCUGCAUACUUCAUCAGAGAACUCGAUUGUUCAAAUUCCUCAGCUGAAGAAAAUGGCAGAUGGCAAAAGACCUCAGAAGGGAGGAAAGAAGCUGGAAGUCAACACUGCCUUUGAGAUCCCUGCUGGCAUCUAUGCAGGGUACUGCACACCUGAUGAGGCAACUCAUGGGAAGGAGACCAAGAAUGAGCGCAAAGUGCGCAUACAGAAAAUUGAACGAAGAUGGGCACGAGAAUGGAGGGAGUACAAAUAUGUUACUCCCAGAAAUAUGAAGAAAUUCACUCUAAACCCUCCUUGCCUAAGACCUCCGUUGGCACCUAGCCAAAGAGCUGAUCCCGCAAGCAUCAAACAUGGUGAGGACUAUGCUGAUGAAUGGGACAAGCGGCAAGCCAAGUUGGCCAAGCAGGCCAAAGAAGCAGUGAAGAAAUUCAAUGAAGAUUCUGUUGCUGCCGCUGUUGAGGCCACCACGAGCAAGAAGGCUAUGCCCAAGAAGCCUACUCGCAAACCUCAAUCCUCAACAAUGCCCUCACGGCCAAGCUCUUUAGUGCCCUCACGGCAAAUACCUCAAGCUGCUCCAGUUCCUUAGGUUGCAAAACCCUCAGCUCCUCCGGCAAAGUCCUCAGCACCUGUGCAUCUUGCCACUUGCCAAAGGACCACAGACAUCUCAAUUGCCUCAGGAGCUUCUGCAAGUUCUUCAGUUCCUCAUCUGUCUUCAAAGAGCCCAACUUUGCUAAAGACUAAGGCCACUGCAGGACGAGGCAUUAGACUAAGUCCUCACAAGCAACAAUUUGCCUUUCAAGUACCAUCUGAUGAUGAUGAGGCUGAUGAUGAUGAAUUAGCUGAUAUCAUCAAAGAUAGACAACAAAGGGCCGCUAGAGCCAAGGGAAGUCUUGUGCCUCUUCUAUUGGAUCCGAAGAAGAUCAUGGAUUUCAUUGACCUCUGGCACAAAGAUCCAAACACUCUUGUGCCUGAGCUAGAUCUCACUCCUGGACAAAGUCACAUGUUGACGUCGUUCAUUGCUAAAAAAAUGGAAAUAUGAUCAAGCCAGAACUGCGAAGAAAGCCCAGUACAAGAAACAACGCUUUCUGAAGGACAACGUUCUAAGGCUAUCACCUGAGCAACUCGUCGCUAUGCAAACUGAGAUCAAGAAGCUCAGUGAUGAAUUUGACGCCUAUAAGGCAGAAUGGCUGGGAACCAAUGUCAGAUUCAUCAAAAUGGCGAAGAAAUUCACUUCCAAUGUUGCUGACCCGUCGCACAUUGAAAUUCCCUCGGCUGAAGCAUCUGCUCAGCCAACUGAAGAACAUGCCAGCACCGCUGAUGAAAAUCAGGCUGCUGAUGAAACUGCAAGCACCAGGGCUGAAGAAAUACCAGCCACUGAAGAAACUGCCAGGGCAACCACUAGUGUUGCACCUGAAGAACAAGUCGGGCCAACUGAAGCAUCAGAAUCUGCUCCUGAAGAAAUUGCACAAGACAGGACAACUACAUCAGUUGUGCCUGAAGAAAUUGACCCAAUUUCCUCUGCUCCGCUUGCACCAACACCAAGCCCAAUUCUUCCUCCUGCUCUGGCAGUGAAGAAAAUGAAGGCUGCGGAGCAUGCUGAUCUGAAGAACAGGAAAGCAUCUGCUUCCUCAUAAUCUUCUACGUCCAAGAAGACGAAGAUUUUGACAAGCUCACUUGAGAAUCCUAUCGAUGUUGUUCCUCUCUCAAGCAUGCCAUCAAAGGAACUCAUUCCUUUUGGUGAAGAUUAUGAGAUUCCUGAUGAAUCUGAUGAAGAAAAUCCUUUCAUUGCUUCGAUGGAGCAGAUGGAUGAAGAAAUUCAAGUGGACACUCUCCCUUCAACUCCCCUGGUAUCAUCGCCCAUGCCUCAGUUUACAGUUGAAGAGACGGGCAUUGAAGAAAUGGAAGAAGAUGAAGAUGUGGACAUUGGGAGCACCACACCUGUGAUGAACGAUGACUUUUGGGACAGUCAGCACCCCAACUCUCCUCUGUUCACACCGCUUUAACAAAUUCCUCAGCCCCCAGUCUCUACAGAAGUUUAGAUGGGCUCUGAUGAAAUUCAUACAGCCCCUUCUGUUCCUGAAGAAAUUCCAGCCACUAGUGCUGAUGACAAAGCUGCUGAAGAAAUGGAGACCCAGGCUGCUACUGAAGCAGAAGCUGAAAUUCCUCAGUCUGCGGCUCCAGAGAUUGAGAUUCCCGAGAUUGUGCUGCAAUUUACUGAUACUCCUCAGCCUAAGCCAAAGAAUCCAUUCUCGAAGACGCCAAAAUUCAAGGCUGAUGACUUCUUCCAUGAGCAUGUGUUCUUCACUGACUACAACCCCUAUGACAUUGCUCGUCUUAGAAGGAAGCGUUUCUGGACUGCCAGCCAAGUAAGCUUCUAUUCUUCAGUGCUUUUCAACAAAGACAAAGUCUUUGACCAUGAGCACAUUCCUCGUGUUGAUAUGGAAUCACUGUCGUGCUUCGCACCAGUCCUCAGUGUCAUUCAUGAUGCUGGAUUGCUAAACUUCCGCACUGACAUCUGUGAUUGGAAUGAAGAACUCAUUCUUCAUUUCUAUGCGACGCUGCACAUCACUGGUAAUGUUGACGAUGUGAACUCUUGGGCGCUGGACUGAAUGACAGAAAACACUCACUUCAAAGCACCGGCCUCUGAAUUGCUUCAUGCCCUGCCUGUCAGUCCUCCCCUUGAAGGUGCUCGUGUUAUCUAUCAUGAACUUGAGCUGUCUGAUCACUACAUGCAAGUGUUGAUGAAGCCAUUGAAGCCUGGCCAAGCCUCAAGGACCAAAUUUCUCGUGAAGGAAUUGAUGUAUGUGCCUCGGACUGUCUAUCGCAUUCUGACCAAGACACUGAGUCCUACCAAAGGCCACGACUCGAAUGAUGAAGAAGUUGUUGGCAUCAUGAAGAAUAUGCUAUUCAACAUCAAGCAUGGUAUUCUAGUAAACUAUCAUGACUUCUUCAUGAGGACUUUGGCAAACGUUGCAUUGUCUCCCUUUGAAUUGAAGCCUUAUGCUCGCUGGAUUAUGAGAUUCCUCAAAUCAAGGUCAUCAAUCAACUACAAAGCUGAUACACUCGACCAUGGCAGUUACUUGCCCCCUAUUGAAGUCCUCAAGCGGACAUUUUCCUCGGCUGAUGAAAAGGGCAAGGCCACUGCAAUUAUUGAUGAGGGCAAUCGUCCAUUGGAUGGACAGUUCCGCAAAGCUGCCUCAUACUCCACCAAUGAUGACUCUGCCACUCAUGAUUCUACCGCCAAUGCCUCAAAGCAAAGUCCUCAAGCCACAGCUCCAAGGGUGAUGAUUGAUCGUGAGCUUCUCCUCAGUUUUCAUUAGAAGGUGGAUCGCAAUCAUAAAUGGGCAAGCAUUAGUUUGGUGCAAUUCUUCACAACAUGACUGGUACAUACAAUUCAGUGAAGAAGAACCACUACUACCUCAAUGAAGUUUUUGAUCGCACCUGGGUUGUUCUGACUCAUCUCUAUGGUGAUGAAGACCUCAAGCAGAUGGACUUCAAAUAGGAUCAGCUGUUUUAAGCCUCUGGCGAAGAAAUUCAAAAAGGUCGAAGUUCCUCCUUUGGUGCCCAGCUCAUAUUCCUCAUCACGCAAGACUGAUGACAAUGAAGACUUGGACGACACUGCGGCAGGCCCUACUCCAACAACCGACCCCAACAAUGCUGGCGCUCCUCCAUCAACUUCGUGAUGAAAUUCUUUAGGGGUGUUAGUCCUCAUUUUUUCGUCCCUUUUGGUCAUCUGAUGACAAAGGGGGGAAUUUGAGUUAGUCUUCAAGCGGGUCUAUCUCUAUAUGGGCGUUUUUUUGUUAACUUGCAACUCUCGCUCUUCUGAAGUGUUUGUUGAUUGAGUUGUAAACUUAAGUCCGAUGGUGACCUGAUACUUUUGCUUUGUUUUCUGCAUGUUAUUUCCUCAUAUAUACUAUGCACGCAUGCUGAAUUACAUAAGUCACCACAUUUCAUCAUGCAUUUCAAAUUCUUCAUUCGAUAUGUUAAAUGCGUGUAUGAAUUACAAGAUAUAGGGGGAGAUCUCCAUGAUUCCACUCUUCAAAUGGGCAUUGCUUCAAAAGCAAAUUCCUCACUAUGCACUUCUUCAGGGGGGGUUCUUCUAUAUAUUGUAAUCAAAUUCCUCAAUAUUGAGCACUUUCAAUUCAUAUGUUUAUCCCCAUUGAAAACUAAACCUAUAUUGUCAUCAAUCACCAAAAAGGGGGAGAUUGUAAGUGCAUCUAGUGCCCCUUAGUGAUUUUGGUGUAUUGAAGACUUAUAGGUUAAGGGACUAAUACAUUUGUGAGUGUACACAGGUUCUAUAAGUCGAUGAGGAGUUUGAUAUUUGCAGUGAAAGUCGACCCCUAAAAAUGAAUGCCUUCAGCUGAAGACUUUGGUUCUCCUGAAGACUUUGAAAGUGAAGAAAUUGGUGUGACCGUGAAGACUUGGAUAUUCAUGCGAGGAUUAUGAAGCAUGAAGACUUUUGUUUUCGUAGUUUCAUUUUCUCUUUCUUGAGUCAUAGGAAACACCGUAUUGUUAAAGGGGGUCAAGGUAAUACUAAGGAAAGUGAUUUCCAAGUGAUGCUCAUCUCAAAAUUCUACACCUACCCAAUCCUUUCAAGUGAAGCCUUUGGAAAUCUCAUGUCAGUUCAGUCAAUUUCUUAAGUGACAGAGACAAACAUCUUCUGGUCUCUAAGGAAUUUGUUCUGACUGAGGAGUUAGGAAUUCGCUAGUGCGAAUUGCCUACACAGUGAGGAACAUGAUAGCCCUGGGGAAUUCGAACCUCAAAUCCGACCGUUGUUGUGCCAUGCGCCAGCUGUCCAAAAUAUCCUACCACCUAACGGUCAUAUUAUUGAAGGGCAUUUAUGUCUUAUCAUGUCGGGUUGCUCCCUAGGCUAUAAAUAGCCGCCCCCUACAACCACUAGUUGGUUGGCCGCUCCUAGACAAACUGACACUUGUCAAUUGAGAGCAUCCCAUCCUCCGAGGACUUUGAGCGAAAAUCAUCAAGUGAGGAAAACCCAAAUCCCAAAACCAAACCUACAAACCCAAAGUGAUUGAGCAUCACUAAAGAGAUUGUUACUGUGUGGAACCGACGCUUGUUACCUUUGAGGACUGUGUAUCCUCCAGACGGUUAGGCGUCAUGGUCUGAGCAUCAAAGAGGAAUUGUGCAUCGCCGAGUGACCUAGCGUGUGAAGGUUUGGAAGUCACCCGUGAAGACUUACCACUACUGUUGGGCGAGUGAAAGGAUCGAGAAGAGGUGUCUAGAGGGGGGGUGAAUAGACCCUUAACACACAAAGUUGGUAGUUUUUAAGUUUAUCAAGUUUAGGUGGAGUUUAAGCACAAGUUGAACCAUUCACAAUACAUAUCAAGCAAGCAUGCAAAGAGUAUAUGGGCAGCGGAAUUAAAGCAUGCAACUUGCAAGAAAGUAAAGGGAUGGGAUUGGAGUGUGCAAACGCAAUUGGAGACACGUAUGUUUUUGGCAUGGUUCUGAUAGGUGGUGCUAUCGUACAUCCACGUUGAUGGAGACUUCAACCCAUGAAGGGUAAUGGCUGCGCGAGUCCACGGAGGGCUCCACCCACGCAGGGUCCAUGAAGAAGCAACCUUGUCUAUCCCACCAUGGCCAUCCCCCACGAAGGACUUGCCUCACUAGGGUAGAUCUUCACUAAGUAGGCGAUCUCCUUGCCCUUACAAACUCCUUGGUUCAACUCCACAAUCUUGUUGGAGGCUCCCAAGUGACACCUAACCAAUCUAGGAGACACCACUCUCCAAAGGGUAAUAGAUGGUGUGUUGAUGAUUAACUCCUUGCUCUUGUGCUUCAAAUGAUAGUCUCCCCAACACUUAACUCACUCUCAUAGGAUUGGAUUUGGCGGAAAGCUGAUUUUAGUGGAAAGCAACUUGGGGAAGGCUAGAGAUCAAGAUUCAUAUGGUUGGAUUGGAAUAUCUUGGUCUCAACACAUGAGUAGGUGGUUCUCUCUCAGAAAAUGAGUAGUGGAAGUGUAGGCACAUUCUGAUCGCUUUCUUUACGGAUGAGGAGAGGGUGGAGGGGUAUAUAUAGCCUCCACACAAAAUCUAACUGUUACACACAAUAUACCAAACUCGGUGGGACCAAAUCACAAAACUUGGUCGGACCGAUUCAGUACAUAAUGUGACCGUUAGGCAAUUUCGGUGGGACCAAUAUGAUCAACUCGGUGGGACCGAUGUGCAAGGGUUAGGGUAAAACCUCAUCUCGGUUUGACUGAUUACACAACUCGGUGGGACCGAUUUGAUAAUAAGUAAAACAGAGAGUUGGUCAGGCAAACUCGGUGUGACCGAUUACAUCUUCUCGGUGGGACCGAAAAUAUUGCAAUAGACAACAGAGAGUUUACAAGCCCAUCUCGGUGAGACCGAGAUCCCAUCGGUGAGAUCCAAGUGAUUAGGGUUUCUGGCAGUGGCUAUGUCAACUGAACUCAGUGGCGCCGGAUGUAUCAAAUCGGUGGGGCCAAGUUUGACUUUUGGUUUGGGACAUAUGUGGAUAUGAUAAAGUGGCUGAGGGCUUUGGAUCAUAUCACUAAACACACUGAGCAAGCAAGCCAUUAAACAACACCUCAUCCCCUUUUAAUAGUAUUGGCUUUCCUAUAGACUCAAUGUGAUAUUGGAUCAAUAAAAAUAGAGAAUGUAGAGUCCUGAGCUUUGAGCUUGAGCCAAUCCUUUGUCUUUAGCAUCUUGAAGGGGUUCCACAUCUUCUUGUCCAUGCCACUCCACUGUUGGACUUAUCUAAAAUAUACUAGAUAAAAGUAUUAGUCCAACAAGAGAUAUGCUGACAUUAUAAUUACCAAAAUUACCCAGGGAUCACUUGUGCUUUCAAUCUCCCCUUUUUUGGUAAUUGAUGACAACAUACAUCAAAGCUUUAGAUAAAGAUAUAGAGAAAGGCAAGUAAAGCUUUGGAAAGACAUGUAACAUGCAUAGGCUUCCCCUACAUGUAUGAAAUCAUGUAAAUAUGAAGCAUAAGAUCAUGUGACUGCAUAAUCAUGACAGAGCAAGCAAUGAGUUACAUGUAUCUUGGCUAUAUGCAUCAGAGCAAAUGGUGUGAACAUGGGAAAUGUACCUUCAUGCUCAUGAGUCCUUCUUGCAAACAAUAUGUACAUCAGCAAGAGAUCUUCAUGCACAUGAGUGUGAUGCAUAUACUUACCUUGUGGUCUUGAGCUAGCUUUGGAAGAGAUGAACCUGAGUAAAUAAGGUUAGACAACACAGAAACAUCUACAAGCAGAGCAAGAGCAGUAAACCACAAGAGUACCAAGAUUUGGGAUGACAUGUGUAGAGUGAGUACUAAGUACUCUAUUUGAGUAUAGACACGUCCCCAAAGGGAAAGAUAUGCAAUGAAAUCAAAAGAUUCCCUUCUCUUAGAUGUCUUGCUCCCCCUAAAUCUUAUAAUGGAUAUUGGGAGAAGAUAGGGAGUAGAAAAUCAGAGCAAAGUAAACACAAAAACAAUAUGAACAUGUCUUUCCCCUCUAAAGACAUGUAACUUCUCUCCUCUUUGAAUACCAAGCAACUGGGGUUUCUCUUUUGAAAAAGAAUGUCUCGCUCCCCCUGUUGCUCUCUCUCCCUGUUGGAGUGAUUAAGCUUUGAUGUGAGCUCUCUCUCCCCCUAUGACAUCAAUUUCCAAGAAGGGCCUUCUGGAGUGUGAGUCAAAAUAGGUUGGUCCUUGAGUCACAGAGCAAAGCAGCACAUAGAAUAUGAUGCUCAUAGAGGAUACGAAUCAUCGAGUGGAGCUGGAACAAAAUGUGCAGAAAGUAAGUGACAUAGUGAUUUCUCAGCAUUGAAAUCGGCUACACCAAGUUGAUUCCUUCGGUGGCACCGAACAGUUUUGGUUUGACCGAAAGAGGAAAAUCGGUUUGUCUGAGUUCAUCAUAGAGAUAAAGCACUAGUCACCUCAGGUCACUAAGCAAAUAAGAUCUCACAAGGAUUUGCAAUGAAUGAACUAAAGGAUUUGCAAUGAAUUGGGUGCAGAGAAAUGCAGAACAAAAAUAAAAGAGAAUAAAUCUAGAUGAAGUUUUUUUGAAAGGGGAACAAAUAUGCAUGAGACAAAAUGCAAGAACAAGGAGAAACACUAGAGAACUUCAUCUAGAAUUGGUCGGCGACAAGGUCACCUAUGUUAGAGUAUAUUGACUUAGGAGUCAAGUGAAGACACUUGAUCAUAGGUCAUACUCAUUGUUUAAGCUCAAAAAUGGGGUUGCCAUUUUCCGUUUAAGCAUCUUGAUGUAUUCACAUCUUUUUGAGUUGCUUUGGCCCAUGUCUUGGGGUAAAGCUUCUCUAAGAUGGAAUAACAUACCUUGGGUGGUGGUGUUGAACUUGAUCAUGUAGUUGAACUUGUGUGGGAUGCUCAAUGUUGAUGUAGUUCGUUUGGAGCACCACUUGUAAUUGGAGUUCAUCUACCUACAUGGAUUAGAUUUUCAAGGAAGAGCACUUGUGUAUCCAAAAUGACAAUCAUGAAAUUUGACUUAGGAAGUCGUCAAAAGAUAUAUUUGAAGGGUUUUAUUCUUCCUUGUCUUCAACCACCGUAAAGUAGAGACUUGGUGAUGUAGAGAUUGCUCAAGAUAUGAGUGAGUUGCAAUCUCAUAGAUUCAGAUCCAUCCAAGUACCUACAUGGGUUAGAUAACAUGCAAGGGUGCGAGUGUAUCCAAGAUAUACUAUUAUCAUCAUAAGAGAAAUAUCAAGGAUUAGUCAUAGGCUCAUGUCUUGCAUGUAUCCAAAUGGAGUUCUUACUCCAAGUUUGAAGCAUCAAUGAUGUUCAAUUCACCUCUCAACCUGCAAAACACUUUCUCAUCAAGUGGUUUAGUGAAUAUAUCCGCCAAUUGCUUGUCGGUGCGAUCAUGCUUAAGGUUAAUAUCACCCUUAGCAACAUGAUCUUGAAUUAAAUGAUGACGAACUUCAAUGUGCUUAGUUGGAGAGUGUUGCAUGGGAUUGUGGGCAAUCUUAAUAGCACUUUCAUUGUCACAAAGCAAAGGAACAUGUUUCACAUAUAUCCCAUAAUCUUUAAGAGUUUGGGUCAUCCAAAGUAAUUGAGCACAACAUGAACCGGCGGCAAUGUAUUCCGCUUCGGCGGUGGAUAAGGAUACCGAGUUUUGUUUCUUGGAGGACCAAGACACAAGAGAUCUACCAAGAAAUUGACAAGUACCCGAAGUGGACUUUCUAUCAACCUUGUCUCCGACAUAGUCCGAGUAGGAGUAGCCAACAAGAUUAAAAUAGGCCCUCUUUGGAUACCAAAUGCCAAAGUUUGGUGUAUGUAUUAAGUAUCUCACUAUCCUUUUCAUGGCCUUAAGAUGACACUCUUUAGGGGCCGCUUGAUAUCGUGCACACAUGCACACACUUAUCAUAAUAUCAGGACGAGAGGCACAUAGGUAUAAUAGUGAACCAAUCAUAGAGCGGUAAACCUUUUGAUCAAUGGGUUCACCAUCUUUGGUCAAGUCAAGAUGUCCAGUAGUAGGCAUGGGUGUACUCAUACCUUUGCAUUCUUGCAUAUUGAACUUCUUGAACAAGUCCUUGGUAUACUUCCUUUGAGAGACAAAGGUACCUUCCUUUGUUUGCUUGAUUUGCAACCCAAGAAAGAACUUGAGUUCACUCAUCAUAGACAUAUCAAACUUCUCCAACAUGAGCUUACCAAACUUCUCACUAAAAUGAGGGUUAGUUUAUCCAAAUAUAAUAUCAUCAACAUAAAUUUGGCACACAAAUAAUUCUCCAUUAACCCUUUUAGUGAAAAGGGUAGAAUCAAUCUUUCCAAUCUCAAAGCCUUUUUCAAUAAGGAACUUGGUCAAGCAUUUAUACCAUGCUCUAGGAGCUUGUUUAAGACCAUAAAGAGUUUUGUGAAGUUUGUAAACAUGAUUGGGUUUCUUAGGAUUAACAAAGCCGGGAGGUAACAUAAACUUCCUCCUCAAUUUCACCAUUUAGAAAAGCACUUUUAAUCUCCAUUUGGUAUGAAGUGAAUCAUGGUGAUUAGCAUAGGCAAGUAAGAUGCGAAUGGACUCAAGUCUAGCAACGGGGGCAUAUGUCUCACCAUAGUCCAUACCUUCAACUUGAGUGUAGCCUUGGGCGACGAGACGUGCUUUGUUGCGAACUACUUGUCCAUCUUCAUCUUGCUUGUUGCGAAACACCCAUUUGGUACCGAUGAUGUUGUGGUUGUUGUCGGGCUUCUCGACCAAUGUCCACACUUGGUUUCUCUCAAAGUUGUGUAGUUCUUCGUGCAUGGCAUUUAUCCAAUCCGGGUCUUCAAAUGCUUCUUCUACCUUCAUAGGUUCAAUGCUAGAGAUGAAUGAAUAAUGUUCACAAAAAUUAUCCAAACAAGAUUUAGAGCGAGUGAUUCUCCUGGUUUGGAUAUCAUUGUAGAUUUGCUCGACAGUAUGGUCUCUAGCAACUCUUGCUCGAACUCGUGAGAGCUUUUGCUUUGAUCGGGGUGGAACAUCUUCUUCAUCAUCUUGUUCUUCUUCUUGGCCUUCAUCAUUGUUGACGUUGUUGUUCUCACAUCAUGGUGGAGAAGGAGGUUGAUGAGGUUCAUCUUGGUGUACUUCCUUGUUUUCUUCAUCUUGGUGUGUCCCACUUGUGGAUGCUUCCAUAUCAACUCUUGGUUCACCUUGUAGUGAGGUAGAAGCUUCCACUUGGACGGACGAGGUACUCUCCUUCACCUCCGUUGGACGAACCUUGCCAAUAGAUAAGUCUUGGAUUGCUUCCGAAGGAUCUUUAUCUCCUACAUCAAUUGGCAAUUGCUCUACUUGCGAGCCGUUAGAUUCAUCAAACUUCACAUCUACCAUCUCUUCAACCUUUCGGGUGAAAUUGUUGUAGACACGGUAAGUGUGAGAGUUUGAGUCGUAACCAAGUAGGAAACCUUCAUGAGAUUUAGGAGCAAAUUAAGAACGAUGAUGCUUAUCAAGAAUGUAGCACUUUGAGCCAAAUACUCGAAAGUAUCCAACUUGGGGUUUGUUACCGGUGAGGAGCUCGUAUGCCGUCUUGCCGAGUAGCUUGUGAAGAUACAUGCGAUUUCUUGCAUGACAAGCUGUCUCAACCGCUUCCGCCCAAAAGUGCUUUGGCGUCUUGUACUCAUCAAGCAUUGUUCUUGCCAUUUCGAUGAGCGUCCAGUUCUUCCUCUCAACAACUCCAUUUUGUUGAGGUGUGUACGUAACCUAGAACUCAUGUGAAAUCCCUUCUUCGUCAAGAAAGGUGUCCACAUUGGCGUUCUUGAACUCCAUUCCAUUGUCACUGUAAACCUUCUUCAUCUUCACUUCAAAUUGAUUUUGGGCCUUCCUCGUGAAGUUUUUGAAGAUCUUCUGGACCUGCGAUUUAUCAUCGAGAAAGAACACUCACAUAAAUCUUGAAAAAACAUCAACUAUAACUAGACCAAAUGAGUUUCCACCGAGACUUUUGUAGGCGUUGGGACUGAAAAUAUCCAUGUGCAGUAGCUCGAGCACUCUCCUUGUGGUCAUGAUGUUCUUCACGGGGUGGCUUCCUCCAACCUAUUUUCCUGCUUGGCAAGCGCUGCAAAGUCUAUCCUUAUCAAAUAUGACAUCUUUAACACCAAGGAUAUGAUCUCCUUUAAUAAGCUUGUCAAGGUUUCGCAUGCCCACAUGACCUAACUGUCUAUGACACAACCAGCCUGUAGAAGAUUUAGCAAUUAAGCAAGUUCUAGGUUGAGCCUUUUUAGUGAAGUCAACAAUAUAUAGAUCACCUUUUCAUAUACCGGUAAAUACCAUUUUAUGAUUAUCUCUACAAAACAAUUGGCAAUCUACUUUGGUAAAAAGGACAUUGAAGCCAAAGUCAGCUAGUCUAGAAACAGAAAGCAGAUUAUAGCCAAGAGAUUCAACGAGCAUGACAUUUUGUAUGGAGCUAUCAUGUGAGAUGGCCACCUUACCCUUUGAGUUAUCACCAAAAGUGACAUACUGUUGAGGGCCGUCGUUUUCAGCAAGCUCACGAAACAUAUCUUUAUCUCCGGUCAUGUGAUCGGUACAUCCACUAUCAAGGACCCAUUCCUUUCCUCCUGCCAUGUAUCCCUGAAGAUUUGCCAUAAGACCAAAGUGUCUCAUUGCAUCAUCAAGAUCAUAGUCACUAUCAUCAUCCUCAUCAUAGUAUCCAUGUUCAACAUCGUCAUGUGGUGGAUCAAUUCCUAGAGAGGGUGAUUCGUUAGAUAAAUGAUUUUGACAAUGAUAAUCUUUAUGAAUUCUAAUAGCUUUGGAAAUAAUAUUGCUAAUAAUUCCAACAUCUCCUUUGGCACGCAUAAGAUUUGUGAGCUCAAAUAGACAAUCACCAAACUUAGGAUCAUUGGAAUUCAUCUUACUCAAGGCACAAUAGACUUAUGAAGAAUUUCAUCUAAAUUUUGCAAGGAAUAAUUUGGAAAUCUUUCCUCAAGAAAUCUCAUAUGGUGUAGGCACACUUAAGAGUAGUCAAGCAACCAAUCAAGUUUCUAGGCAAACCUCUAGUGAUAAGAUUAACAGUUCUAAGAUUGCGAAUCAUGUCAAUUGACUCGUCAUGAGUAGGAUGCAUAGGAUCAACAUGAGGUGCACAAGGGCUAGUAAUGUAAUUGUUCAAAUGAUAUUCAUUGAAGAUCACAAGCAUCUCAUUUUUCCACUCAUGAAAGUACUCUCCAUCAAGUAUAGGCACUCUAUGUCUAAGACUCCCCAAAGUAGACUCAUUCAUCUUCCUCCAAUGGUGUUUAAACCAAAGCAAUGAAGACCAAAGCUCUGAUACCAAUUGAAAGGAUCGAGAAGAGGUGUCUAGAGGGGGGUGAAUAGACCCUUCACACACAAAGUUGGCAGUUUUUAAGUUUAUCAAGUUUAGGUAGAGUUUAAGCACAAGUUUAACCAUUCACAAUACAUACCAAGCAAGCAUGCAAAGAGUAUAUGGGCAGCGGAAAGUAAAGCAUGCAACUUGCAAGAAAGUAAAGGGAUGGGAUUGGAGUGUGCAAACGCAAUUGGAGACACAGAUGUUUUUGGCGUGGUUCCGGUAGGUGGUGUUAUCGUACAUCCACAUUGAUGGAGACUUCAACCCACGAAGGGUAACGGCUGCGUGAGUCCACGGAGGGCUCCACCCACGAAGGGUCCACGAAGAAGCAACCUUGUCUAUCCCACCAUGGCCAUCGCCCACGAAGGACUUGCCUCACUAGGGUAGAUCUUCACGAAGUAGGCGAGCUCCUUGCCCUUAAAAACUCCUUGGUUCAACUCCACAAUCUUAUCGGAGGCUGCCAAGUGACACCUAACCAAUCUAGGAGACACCACUCUCCAAAAGGUAAUAGAUGGUGUGUUGAUGAUGAACUCCUUGAUCUUGUGCUUCAAAUGAUAGUCUCCCCAACACUCAACUCACUCUCAUAGGGUUGGAUUUGGUGGAAAUCUGAUUUGAGUGGAAAGCAACUUGGGGAAGGCUAGAGAUCAAGAUUCAUAUGGUUUGAUUGGAAUAUCUUGGUCUCAACACAUGAGUAGGUGGUUCUCUCUUAGAAAAUGAGUAGUGGAAGUGUAGGUACGUUCUGAUGGCUUUCCUUACGAAUGAGGAGAGGGUGGAGGGGUAUAUAUAGCCUCCACACAAAAUCUAACCGUUACACACAAUAUACCAAACUCGGUGGGACCGAAUCAGAAAACUCGGUCGGACCGAUUCAGUACAUAAUGUGAACGUUAGGCAAUUUCGAUGGGACCGAUAUGAUCAACUCGGUGGGACCGACGUGCAAGGGUUAGGGUAAAACCUCAUCUCGAUUUGACCGAUUACACAACUCAGUGGGACCGAUUUGGUAAUAAGUAAAACAGAGAGUUGGUCAGGCAAACUCGGUGUGACCGAAUACAUCUUCUCGGUGGGACCGAAAAUAUUGCAAUAGACAAUAGAGAGUUUGCAAGCCCAUCUCGGUGAGACCGAGAUCCCAUCGGUGAGAACGAAGUGAUUAGGGUUUCUGGCAGUGGCUAUGUCAACUGAACUCGGUGGCGCCGGAUGGAUCAAAUUGGUGGGGCCGAGUUUGACUUUUGGUUUGGGACAUAUGUGGAUAUGAGAAAGUGGAUGAGGGCUUUGGAUCAUAUCACUAAGCAGUUUGAGCAACCAAACCAUUAAACAACACCUCAUCCCCCUUUAAUAGUAUUGGCUAUCCUAUAGACUCAAUGUGAUCUUGGAUCACUAAAAAUAGAGAAUGUAGAGUCCUGAGCUUUGAGUUUGAGCUAAUCCUUUGUCUUUAGCAUCUUGAAGGGGUUCCACAUCUUCUUGUCCAUGCCACUCCACUGUUCGACUUAUCUAAAAUAUACUAGAUAAAAGUAUUAGUCCAACAAGAGAUAUGCUGACAUUAAUUACCAAAAUCACCCAGGGAGCACUUGUGCUUUCAGCGAGGUCUAUGUGAUCUUAGCUCAAGGAGAAUACGGUGAGGACUGUGUGUCUGGGACUGUGUGUCCUCGAGUUUAAAUACUCAUCCGCUCCAACCAGACGUACAACUGUCACAGCAGUUGGAACUGGUCUACCAAAUCAUUAUCUUCACCAAGCCUACUGGUUCUAUUUCCUCAACCCUUCCAUUUCCUCAUUCAUGUGUUGAUGAACCUGAUCAUUACUAUUUGAAGACUUUGACUGAAGACUUUCUUUAUUUCCUCAAUCCAAUUUCUUCAGUCACAUUGUCUUCAGCCUGCUUAUCCUGUGUUUACGCUUUCUGUACUCUGUGUUUGUCUUUCAUUUCAUCAUGAUGACUAUGCUUUUGCUCCGUUAUGCUUAUACCUGAGUACUUAUUCCGCUGCUUGUAGUUCGUGACUUAGGAAUUUCCUCACCCAGAAAUUCCUCAGUGACAAAUUUGUAAAAAUCGUCUAUUCACCCCCCCCCCUCUAGUCGACUUAACGCACUUUCAGUUUGUAUGCUCAACCCCUUAGUGCAAAAUAACGUCAAGUUAUAUUGCCCAUUGUGAUAGCAACCUUUAUUAUGCAGUCUGUCGCUUUUAUUCUUCAUCAUCACAAGUUUGUACAACCCUCGAUUUUCUCUUACACUAAAUGAUCUAACACUUUUAGAAGCAAUUUUUAUUGCCUUAUUGAACCGAUGACAACUUACUUGAAGGAUCUUGAUCAAUGCAUAGGUAGGUAUGCUGGACUCUCAACACAAGAUUUGGGUUUAAGGGUUUUUGGAUGCGCUAGCAAAGAUAGGGGGCAAGCACCACAUGUCGAAGGAUCUAUGAUAAUAUAACUUCUAUGUGAAUAUGAACAAACAUAAACCAUUAUGUUGUAUUCCUUGUCCAAUGUCAACAAUUUUGACAUAUAAUAUUUUGAUGGGGGCUCACAAUCACAAAAGAUUUCCAAGAUAGUGUAUUUGCAUGUGAAAGUUCUCUUCCUUCUACUAAUCAUUCAUGAAUUGCUUGUAUGACCAAUAUUGUGAUUGUCAAGCUUCAAAAGAUUUCACUUUAUAAACCCAAUGUGAAGCUACCACUAGGCAUGAUAUGAUUUCAACUUCAUGACAUUCAAUUUAUUCAACAUUUUACUCAUAGGAUAUAAGUGAAUCACAAGAGUAAAUGCCAAGCUACUCCAAAAAGAUAUAAAUGAAGAUCAUGAGCAUAAUAUUUAUUUCUCUCAAAUUAAUUUAAGUGAAGCAAGAGAGAAUUUCUUCAAAAAUACUAAAGCACAAUGUGCUCAAAAAGAUAUAAGUGAAGCGCUAGAGCAAUUCCAUAGAGAAGAGCUUCGUUGACGGGAUGUGAAUGCCACUUACCUAGCCUCCUUGGCAACUAUUUGAGGACUCUAUUUUAUUUAAAAACUUUCAGGUCUAAGUAUUUUAUUAAAACAACAAGCAAAAUGAAAAUAAAAUGACAUUCUAAGAAUAGCAUAACUCAUGUGAAGAAGCAAAAACUUAGGCUCAACCGAUACUAACCGAUAAUUGUUGAAGAAGAAAGGUGGGAUGCCUACCGGGGCAUCCCCAAGCUUAGAUGCUUGAGACUUCUUGGAAUAUUAUCUUGGGAUGCCUUGGUCAUCCCCAAGCUUGAGAUUUUGUGUCUUCUUAAUUCCUCUUAUACCACGGUUUCCCUAAAUCUCAAAAACUUCAUCCACACAAAACUCAACAAGAACUCGUGAGAUAAGUUAGUACAAACCAAUGCAAAAACCUUAUCAUUCUCUACUGUAGCAAAUCACUAAAAAAAUUAUCCAAAAUUGCAUACUAAAUGCCUCUACAUAUUUAAUACUCCUAUCGUCAAAUAGAAUCAUUAAACAAGCAAACAUAUGCAAAUAAUGCAAACAUAACAGCAAUCUGCCAAAACAGUAUAGUCUGUAAAGAAUGCAAUAUUCAUCAUAAUUUCCUAACUCCAAAAAUUCUGAAAAAAAUUACCACACUUUAGAAAAUUUAUCAGAGCUUAUUUUUCAAAAAAAUCAGCAUUUUGUCACAUUCCGACUUUUCUCGGGAAUUUUUGCAACAGCGACAAACUUUCUGUUUUGAAACAGCAACUCAUAUACUUGCAAAAUAAGCAUGGCAAAGGCUAUCAUUGACACUUUUAUUGAAACAAAAGAUGAAAAACAUUAUUAUAAAUAACAGCAAGCAAAUACUAACAAAAUAAAUUGACGCUCCAAGCAAAACAAUAUCAUGCGACAAAUGAAAACAAAGCUCCCAGUGAGGUUACCGAUAAUGUUGGAGAUGAAAGAGGGGAUGCCUUCCGGGGCAUCCCCAAGCUUAGUUGCUUGGAUCUUCUUUGAAUAUUACCUUGGGGUGCCUUGGGAAUCCCCAAUCUUAGGAUCUUGUCACUAAUUAUUCUCCUCAUAUCGACAUCUCAUCCAAAACUUGAAAACUUCAAUCACACAAAACUUAACGGGACUUCGUGAGAUAGGUUACUAUGAUAAAGAGCAAACCAUUUCACUUUGGUACUGCCAAAGACAAGAUUCAUAAUUGUUUCCACACAAUGCCUACUGUAGCAUAUCAUUUACAAAAUUUAUAUUGAGUAAUAUAAGCCAUAGAAACAAGCAAACUAUGCAUUGAAAACAUAAUCUGUCAAAAACAGAACAAUUUGUAGUAAUCUGUACUCAAAAAAUACUUAUGUUACUCCAAAAAUUAUUAAAAAAUCAGGACCAUGUGAGAAUUUUGUAUAUUAAUCUUCUGCAAAAAGAAUCAACUCAAAAUCACUCUUUUGUUAAAAAUGAGAGUUAUUUUCGUGAGCGCAAAAGUUUUUGUUUUUCAGCAAGAUCAAAUCAACUAUCACCCAACAUGAUCCCAAAGGCUUUACUUGGCACUUUAUUAAAAAAAGACAAUAAAACAUGAUUACUACAGUAACAUAAUCAUGUGAACACACAAAAACAGUAGGUAAAAGUGUUGGGUUGUCUCCCAACAAGCGCUUUUCUUUAAUGCCUUUUAGCUAGGCAUGAUGAUUUCAAAGAUGCUCGCAUAAAAGAUAAGAAUUGAAACAUGAAAAAGAGCAUCAUGAAGCAUAUGACUAGCACAUUUAAGUCUAACCCACUUACUAUGCAUAGGGAUUUUGUGAGCAAACAACUUAUGGGAGCAAUAAUCAACUAGCAUAGGAAGGCAAAACAAGUAUAUAACUUCAAAAUUUUGAACACAUAGAGAGGAAAAGUGAUAUUAUUGCAAUUCCUACAAGCAUAUAAUCCUCCCUCAUAAUAAUUUUCAGUAGCGUCAUGAAUUAAUUCAACAAUAUAGCUAUCACAUAAAGCAUUCUUUUCAUGAUACAUAAGCAUAGAAUUUUUAUUACUCUCCACAUAAGCAAAUUUAUUCUCAUGAAUAGUUGUGGGAGCAAACUCAACAAAAUAACUAUCAUGGGGUUGAAAAUUAAAAUCAUCAUGACAAGUUUCAUGAUUAUCAUUACUCUUUAUAGCAUACAUGUCAUCACCAUAAUCAUCAUAGAUAGCAACUUUGUUCUCAUUAUAAUCAAUUGAAACCUCUUCUAAAAUAGUGGAUUCAACAUUAAAUAAAGUCAUGACCUCUCCAAAUACACUUUUAUCAAUAUAAUCAUUAUAAAUAGAAGGCAUGCUAUCAUCAUAAUAAAUUUUCUCAUCAAAACUUGGGGGACUAAAAAUAUCAUCUUCAUCAAACAUACCAUCCCCAAGCUUAUGGCUUUGCAUAUCACUAGCAUCAUGAAUACUUAAGAAUUCAUACUAGCAACAUUGCAAUCAUGCUCAUCAUUCAUGGAUACUAUGCCAAACAUUUUACAACAUUCUUCUUCUAACAAUUGAGCAUAAUUUUCCUUUCCAUCAUUUUCACGAAAGACAUUAUAAAGAUGAAUAAUAUGAUGCAACCUCAAUUCCAUUUUUUGUAGUUUUCUUUUAUAAACCAAACUAGUGAUAAACAAGAAACUAAAAGAUUCGAUUGCAAGAUCUAAAGAUAUACCUUCAUGCACUCACCUCCCCGGCAACGGCGCCAGAAAAGAGCUUGAGUCUACUACGCAAUUUUAUUCUUGUAGACUCAUGUUGGGCCUCCAAGCGCAGAGUUCUGUAGGACAGUAGCAAUUUUCCCUCAAGUGGAUGACCUGAGAUUUAUCAAUCCGUGGGAGGCGUAGGAUGAAGAUAGUCUCUCUCAAGCAACCCUGCAAUCAAAUACAAGAAAUCUCUUGUGUCCCCAACACACCCAAUACGAUGGAAAAUUUUAUAGGUGCACUAGUUCGGCAAAGAGAUGGUGAUAAAAGUGUAGUAUGGAUAGUAGAUAUGAGUUUUUGUAGUGCAAACAAUAAAAAAUAGCAAGGUAGUAAAUAGUAAAACGGAGCACAUACGGUAUUGCAAUGAUGGAAAAUGAGGCCUAGGGUGCAUACUUUCACUAGUGCAAUCUCUCAACAAUGCUAACAUAGUUGGAUCAUAUGAUUAUACCUCAAAGUGCAAUAAAGAAUCACUCCUGAGUUCCUAUUAGCGGAGAACAAAGAUAUACAUUAUUUGUAGGGUACGAAACCACCUCAAAGCUAUUCUUUCCGAUCAAUCUAUCCUAGAGUUUGUACUAAAAUAACACGAAGCUAUUCUUUCGAUUGACCUAAUCAAGAGUUCAUACUAAAAUAACACCAUAUGAUACAUAUCAACCAACUCUAAUGUCACCUAGAUACCCCAAUGUCAUCGCGAGUACCCGUGAGUUAUUUAUACGAUAUGUAUCAAAUAAUUUCAUAUUCAUAAUACUCAAUCCACACAAAGAACUACACGGAGACCCCAAAGUUUCUAUCGGAGAAAAGAUGAUAAAAACGUGCAUCAACCCCUAUGCAUAGAUUACCCCAAAGUCACCUCGGGAAUCCGCAAGUUGAGUGCCAUAACAUAUAUUAAGUGAAUCAAAAUAAUACCCCAUUGUCACAACGGGUAUUCAUAUGCAAGACAUAUAUCAUGUGUUCUCAGAUCUGAACAUUUAGUCCGACAAGACAAAACUCCAAAGAGUAAAGACUCAAUUCAUCACAACAAGAGUAGAGAGGGGAGAAACACCAUAUGAUCCAUCUAUGUUAACAAAGCCCAUGAUACAUCAAGAUCGUGACAUCUCAAGAUCACGAGAGAGAGAGAGAGAGAGAUUAAACACAUAGCUAUUGGUACACACCCUCAGCCUCGAGGGUGGACUACUCCUGUUGGGAUCUACGGUAGGGUGCGUCGACUGCAAAUUUAAACUUCUACUACGCGCAGAACAUCCAGGAACAUGCUACGGGAAUGGAUCACAGAUCGUUACCACUAGACGCGCGGUGUCGUGCAACAGAAGAAGAGUUGGGGCAGCGCGUCCGCGUGGAUCGUCUCCUCCUCAUCCGAUCUCCCUCGAACAACCAGUCGUAGGUUCCCACAUACAGGUACGCCGGAGCGGCGGAAGUGCGUCGCCUCUAUUGGUAUCCGCGCGUGCAGGAGGAACACCAUGCGGUGGACUGCUAGGUCCGAUCACACAGUCAGCGACGAGUGCGACGAGUGGAGGUGGCUAUUCACAACACAUGCAAACCCCAGUGAUAGCAGCGAAGAGAUCAACCAAAUGAGUGUGCCGCACCUCCACUUUAUAUAGGCGUCCAUCGCGGACUCAACACUUGGGCCUCGCACAGACCCUAACGCCCAGAAUCUGUUCGGCCGGGAUAUGAAUCCGAGUAGGAUGAUAUCUGAUUUGUCAAGUCCGAUCCGGCCUCACAGAUUCCUUCCCUUAAGCGCGCGACCCCUUAGGUUCAAGUCGGCUUGGCCGCAGGUCGGAUCACCUCCGACCUGCUCGGCUGGUAGCGACCUCUAGCAAGGCGUGCCGGCCACCAAGCAGACAAUGAAGCCGAUUGGCGAACCUGUACAUGACACUUCCAUUUAUUUUGCCUCACGAUAUAUGUUGUCGGGCUCAAGGCGAGUUUGUCAUCCUUGUGCUAGCCCGACCUCUUUCUUGUUCUAGUGAUCCCGACCAUAAAUCGGAUUAUCUCAUAAUCCUUGUCGCAUGGCCAUGCUUAUCCUGGUCAGAUCACAUGAGGGGCCCAGAGUAUAUCUCUCCUAAUCGGAGGGGCAAAUCCCAUCUUGCUCGACCAUGUCUUGUAGCAUGGGUCUGGACAAGUCUGAAACCUACCUUUGUAACUACCCAGUCAUGGAGUAGCAUUUGGUCGGCCCAAAGCAGGUCUGUCACCAUCCCGGGUACAUGCGCCAGCUCAGGUCUUAGGACAUAGAAUGUAUGUUGUAUUAGAGACUCAUAGAUGACAUAUCGCUGCGUCUCAUAGUUGGGUCUGUCUGAUUCGGACCUUAUCUCGACUCGGAUUCGACUACGUCAAAUCCGACCAAAUCCUUCCGAGUCCAUAUUAUCCGGUUAGCAUCCAAUGCUCCAUGGCUAGUGAGACCAAGCCAUCGACCAUGUCAUAUGCUAGUCUAGUCGGCUGCGCGUCCACAUAGCCCUUUCGACUAGGGACCUUUUAGGACAGUCAUCAUACUAUGCAUAGUCCCACAAACAAGUCACGUACUUGUUGAUAAACAUCAUUGAUAAUGUCCAAGGACUAUCUUUAUUCAUAAACACAUAGGAAAUAUCAUCAUACAUGAUUGCCUCUAGGGCAUAUCUCCAACAACUCCCUCCUCAUCGUGGUGGCCGCUAGGAUGAUGAAGAUGGCCACCGGUGAUGAUUCCUCCCUCCGACAGGGUGCUGGAACGGGGUCCCGAUUGGUUUUCGGUGGCUACAGAGGCUUGCAACGGUGGAACUUCUGAUCUAGGGUCUCCGUGAGGGUUUUUGGAAUAUUUGAGAAUUUAUAGGGCGAAGAAGGGGUACGGGAGGCCAUCGAGGUGGGCACAAUCCACCGGGGCGCGCCUGGGGGCCCAGGCGCGCCCUGGUGGGUUGUGCCCCCUCGAGGCACCCCCAGGUGCUGCUCUGGCCAUUGGUGGUCUUUUGGUCCAUUAAAAUCCACAAAAAAAGUUUUGCGGUGUUUGGAGAACUUUGAUUUCUGCACAAAAAACAACACCAUGGUAGUUCUGCUGAAAACAACGUCAGUCCGGGUUAGUUCCAUGCAAAUCAUACCAAAACCAUAUAAAAUUAUUGUAAAUAUGGCAUGAAUACUUCAUAAAUUAUAGAUACGUUGGAGAUGUAUCAUGCUUCUUAUGAUCUUCAAUAUUUAUUUAAGCCUCAUGAUGAAUAUAUUUACUAUAAUAUUGAAAGUGGGUUUGGAAGAGUGUCAACUCUAGGUAAUAAUGAUCCCACUACUUUGGAGAACGAUCAAUCCUAUGAUUUUUUUAUAAAAGUGGGUCUGGAGAAGUCAUGAAUUUAUUUGGUGAUAAUCCAACUAUUUCGGAAGAGUGUCAACUUCGCAUGCAUGUGGAUCAUGUAGAGAAAAUUUUAUGUGAUAGCUAUAUUGUUGAAUUUGAAUAUGAUCUCACAUGUAAUUAUUAUGAGAGAGGAAAAUAUUGUGUUAGAAAUUUUCAUGUUACUAAAUUACCUCUCUUUAUGUUGAGAUUGUUAUUAUUUCUUUCUUCUUCCUUACAUAUGCUAGUUUUUGCUUGCCUUGACAAUUUGUUUUCUUAUAAAAUGCCUAUGCAUAGGAAGCAUCACGAAGAGAUCAUAUACUUGAAGCAUUUCGACCAUUUCAUGAAGAUGAUGUCUUGUGAAGAUGUUCCUAAGAGUGGCUCUCCCAUAGUGGAGUAUAGGGGAGCAAAUUGUGAGUCUUCACCAAGCAUGUGCUAACAAGAAAGGUGUUCCAACUUGAGGCGGGCGUGAUCGUCAUCAUCUAGCUCAAGUGGAUUAUGCGCAACACAAAGGUUUGUCCUUGCUAGGUUUUCUAUUUUACCGGUCUCAUGGUGUUAGUCGGCAGACCGGGUUAUAGAAUUGAUUCCCGUACUAUCAAGGGGGGCUCAUGAGUGAGUAGCUUGACCGUAUGAUUCGUAGAGAGCUCAAACCAUUACAUCCUUGGCAUCAUCUUUCUUGGUUCUUGUUUGGCUUUUCUCCGUGUGAGCUUUAGAGCUUGUGGUUAUCUUCAUUACAAGCUCAAGUUCAUCGGACACAGAUUUCGUAUGCAUCAUCUAUUAUAUUUUUUAUGUUGAGUUUUUGCCGGUUCUACACUCAUGGAGGUUUCACACCUCUAUAUCAUUGGCAUAUUUCUCUUGCUACUUUUGAAGAUUUCCAAUCAUGAUUUGGCAGCUCUUGUCGUUAGCUUUCUAUCAAGCUUGAGUUCAUCGAAAUCAGAGUUCAUUUGCAUAAGUUAUGGCAGUUUUGGUCUUACUUACAUUCUUCUGUUGUGCUUUGGCCUUUUGGGCAGAGGCCAAGCGGUAGCACCGCUUGUACCCACGGUAGUACCGCUUAGGCGGUACUUUCGCUUCUUGGUACCGCGGCUAGUUCCAUGGGCUGCCACUUGGUAUUGGGCCAAAGUGGGGCAACCUUACAUGGGCCUUAUGGCCCAAUAGUUGGAGGCGGCCCCUUUAGGCUCAGGAGGCUCCCCCUUGGCGGCUAGGGUUAUGGGAGAGAGGGUGCGUACCCCUCAGGACUGUCAACCCUAGAUGGGGGUGCACCCCUUGGGGCAACCCCUCCUCCAAGCUAGCCUCCUCAUCGGGCUAUUAUAAAUGGAGGGGCGGGGCAUGCUCAAAGGAGACAUAAAUUUUCUGGUGCCUUUGAUUGUGCCUCUCUCUCUCUUUCUCUCUCUCUCUCUCUCCACAAUAGUGGGUCUCCAUCCGAAGGCUGCACCUCCCGCUUCUUCUAUGUCGACAUUUCCUAGCUCUGGACGGUAAAGCGAUGCCUGAUCACUGGUGUCAUACGCGUGCAAUACACAGAGGGAUCAUGCGUUCGAUUCUUGUUCGAGGGACGGUUCAACAGAUUUCAAGAACGAUCCUCGUGAACUCCUCUCUCGCUGCAACUUGAAGUUGGUAACGAUCAGAUCUAACCUUGUAUGCAUCUUCAUAGUGAUCCUGGGAACUUAAUUUGUAAGGCAAUUUUUGGUUUUGUUUUCUAUCUUCUCAACAACAACUUCACAUUGAAGUCGUCGGGCGGGAGGAAGAGGGGAGGGGGAGGUGAUCUAACGAACUCAGCUAUAUCGGUUGGGUGAGUGUGUAGUAUGUUUGCUCCGAUCUCAAGCCAUCUCAAUGUAUUUUUCUUCAUAAAUGAAUUUGCCGCCUCCUUGACCAUUAGAACUGAUAGUCUAAAGUCAAUGUUGUUCAACCAAAUUAAUUUACUCGGAUCAUAACCCAUGUCUUGAGCUCACACCACGAUCCUCAAGUGAUCCGUCUUUUCUUUUGUCAUCAACGACCGUUCUUCCAUGACACAAUUCCUCGACCAACAAACUUUAACUCAUACAAAGCAAUGUUUUCUUUUGUUGCAACACACAAACAUUUAUGCUAGUAUAAACAAAGAAGAGAUGCGUCCUUGCUCAAUCUGGCCCGUUUAGGUGAUACCGUGAUACAGGCUCUUGACAACCGUUGGAUCUCAGAUCAAACGGCUCCCGGGAGCUCUUGGACAUUUUACAAAAAAAUCAUUCAAGAGUCUUGAAAUUGUGUGCAGGUAUAACAACUCCUCAGGUGCCGUCGGAUCUGAGAUCCAACGGUCCAGACGUGUGUAUCAUGGUAGCAUACGAAGGCCGGUAUCACCUGAAACUUUCCCAUCCAGCCGUCCAGUUCCGAUCAGACGGUAGACAUGCGGCCGCAGCAGCAGCCCGCGGGCGGAGAGUUCCUCCCACAGGGCAGAGCCAGAGGAGGGGAGGCCUUCCUUCCCCCAUCUUCUCCUUUACCUUAUCGGCGUUAUCGCCAUCACCCGUCAUAACUCGCGGCCGCACGCGUCGUACCAAAGGAGGGAGGAAAAAGGGAUCUCCACUCCACUCCGCCUCCUCCUCCGCCCCGCGCGGUUCCAAUCUGGUUCCCGGCCGAGCAAUCGAGGAUGGGGAAGAACCAGGCGUACAAGGCGAUGCAGCGGGCGCGGCUGGGCUCGUCCUCCGGUGCCCCCGGCGAAGGGGAGGAAGACGGCAUGGUCGGUCCCCUUCCUCACCCCCCUUACCACAGAUCCUUAAUCCCCCCUAGUUCCAAGCUCGCAACCCAUCUCUGAUUGCUCCCCCCCGUGCAAACCCUAUCGAGAUCUGCCGGAACGGCCAUGGCGAAUCUUGCUGUUUGUAGAUGCUUUUUCCCCUUUUGACGAGGGAACUUUUACUAACGAGGGCCGUCACAGACGGACGGUUCAUUUCAUUCUCCAGAGUGGCACGCGGCGCGCUUGGCCAGCCUCAACAAGACCCACACCCUCACGUGGGAGGAGUUCAAGAAGAAGCAGAAGGUAUGCGCGGCCUGGACUUGCUCUCUGCUGGCUUUGUUGGUGGAUUUAGUUUCUGCACUCUAUAAUUUUGGCCAUGAUUUUAUUCAUGCUGCUGCUUAAGCUCUGCGAUGUGCUAUUUGUGCUCCUAUUUUAUGUUAAAUGUAUGAUGUAUGCUGAAUUUCAGGCAUACUGCCUUGUAUGUGAUGCCCAAGUUUGUUUUAGCCUGGUGUGGAACGGCGAUUCACUUUAUAGUGCAUAUAGUAACGAAUUAAGCUACGUUGUAGCAUUUGAGGGGAAUUAGCAGCCUGAACUUUGGCAGUGGAAGCUUGGUCCUGUGCCACCCAGGGUCCAGUUGUCCUUCCCCUGGUUUGCUGACCUUUGAGUUUCUCUAGCACCGGUUUGCCAUCAGACAUUUAGACUUGUGCUACUGUAAAAGGUAGUACAACCAUUUAGUGGCACCGCUUAUUGCAGACAUCCAUCAUACUUUACCUAGCUUCAGAAGUCUAAUGAUGCCAUUUGCUUGGCUUCGAUUCCUUUACUUGUCUUGUUAUCUUUGAUAAAUAGCAUCUUAGGCGGAGUAUGUAUAUGCUGAUUCCAAACAGAUCAACCUACGGUCAGCAUUAGUUGGGUUGGCGUUUACUUGGCAAAUGUUUAUUGUUUUCUGCAUUGAUUCCACACGGUUAUUGGCUUACUGCAGACCAGCCUAAGCCUUUUUGUACUUAUAUAAGGUCACUGUGUAGCCAUAGUUAUCUAUUAUCAGUACCUCCAUAGUCAUAAAUGAUGCUCUUGUCCCCUAUAGGACGAGGAACUAAAGAGAGGUGAGGUGGAGGCUGACAAAGAUAAAAUGAUGAGAGAGUAUAGAGCUCAACUGGAUGCUGAAAGGGCCCAAAAGCUUGGCCGUGGAAGAGACGUUGUAAAGUCAAAAUCAUCAUCUUCCAAGAAAGGUAAAUCAACUUAAUAACAUGCUGAACGAUGUUUCUUACAUUUAGGUCCCAUUAGGUGAAACUCUUUCUUAAAUCUGUUCCAUGUGUUGAGUUUUCUGACAAAGGAUUAUGGAUACAGAAAAGAAGGAAAAGGACGCAAAGAAACGGAUUAAAAAGAGGAGGAAGGUAUUACUCUCAAAUACAAAUGUAAUAAUUGGCCACAUUAUGAUGAAUGGAGAACACCAAAAAGUAUCCGCUAUAUAGAUGAUUCUAGAUAUAAGCAUUUUUUUACCUUCUGCUGUUGGGAUGAAUUUGGGAAACAAAAAUGGUCCUACUUGCUCACUUCUGCAUUCUUACAGCACAGAAGUUCGUCAGAAAGUUCCAGCUCAUCAGAAUCAUCAAGUAGUGAUGAUGAGGACAGGGGUUCAAGAAAAUCCCGAUCCCGAUCAAGAUCAAAGCGAAGUAAGAAAGAUAAGAAGCACAGGUCCCGAUCCAAGCAUGCCGGAAGUGACAGCGAGGAGGAAGGCCCUGUUCGCCUCUCGAAAUUCUUUGGGAAUGCAAAGAAUUAGACGCUAUAUCGAUACGCCCAAUACCAAUUUGCUUGCUCCUGAGGUCAUAUCAUUUUGAAUUGUCAAUUGGUGGGUGUUGAUUGUAUUCUAUCGAGACAACUGUCAGAAGGUUGUGGGAACCAGUUUCCAUGUUUCUCAACAGAAUGUUUGGUAAUUGGAGGUUUAGGUGUUGAACCAUUAUAUGGUAUCCUGCAACUUGUAAGAAAUAUCAAAUCAUUGUUACAUUGUUGUACUUGAUGGAUAGUGACAGUACUCAUAUUCGAUUUGAACUGCUUUAAUUCUUUUCAGAACUUGAUAUUUAAUUAUUAUCUUCC
rnacentral:lncRNA from 1 species